AGAAGCGAAGACGAUCCAGGUGAGCGAAGCCGCGAGCAACCUCGUGUGCGAAGCCAGGAAGCUCGGAAGCGUGAUCAACAUGGAAGCAUGAUUUGCGGGGCAAUGUGAGAGCGCAAAUCAUGGGGCUGUCGGGGAGCAACAAAAACGUGAUCCAGAAAUGACCAAUAUGUAAAGAAUAUUAUAAGGAUGUAGUGGUUGGAUAGGGACAAGUGUGUAAAGAGUAAAUGUGCCAUGGGGACUAUAAAAGUGGCACCUCACCCCAGUGUAAAGGCGUUAUGCACUAAUCAUACGAAAGCGACGAUGCAACUUCCAUUUGUGUUGUGUCUGACUUCGCGAGAGGCUUAGACCCAACAUUUGGCACCCACCAUGUUUUAAGCCACCAAGAAAUCCACGAUGCUGCCACAGAGAAAGAGAGCUACUACAGAAGCCAAAGCCACAGAGGAAAGGUAGAUCAUUUCGUCAGAGCCAGCACAACAGGUCUUGAUAGAUAGGGAAGAUAGAUAUAAUAGAAUAUAAGACGUUCUAAGAGCCAAGUCACUGAAGACAAUCGCCGCGCAAAAUGCCGCAAACGAGGACCAACUGCAGGCAGACAUCGAAGAUGAACGCUUGAGUGAUUCGGACAACGAGCUAGCUUUUGUCCUAAGGCAGUUGGAGGAAAUGAAAGGGCAGAGAGAACAAUUCACAUAGCAACUACAGGCUCAAAGAGAAGCAGCCAACAAGCUUGCAAUGUUGAACGAAGCUAAAAGACAAUUAGAAGAAUUGCAGGGAGAAUUGAAAGAGCUAGAAUACCUUCAGGGCACCCCACAACAGCCAAUGCCACCACCUAAUCAAGCUUUCAACACCUGUUCCACACAAGUCAUUUACACCAACCCUAGCUUCGGCCAGCACGAUCCACCACCUGUAAUGAACAUGUGCAUGGUCAUUGACAAGAGCUCUCCGCUGUCAAUUGGAAUUGAAACUGCCCCAUGGCCAGCAACAUAUAAGUCGGUAACCUUGCCUAAGUUCAAUGGACAAACAGAUAUGCGUCAAUUCUUAAUGAGCUACGAAGCUGCAGUAGCUUCAGCCGGAGGCGACGAUGUCGUACUCGCGAAAUUGUUUAUCAUUGCUUGUGAAGAGGCAGCUGUGAACUGGUACUCAUUACUUCCUCCACACUCAGUAUGUAGUUGGAUAGACCUAAAAACGAAGCUAACUCAGAACUUCCAAGGUUUUCAUCAAGCCCUAAACGACGAGGCCGACCUUUUUCACUGCAAGCAAAAAGAUAAGGAGCCCCUCGCCAGUUAUGUCAGGAGAUUUGUUCAGCUUCGGUCGCAAACACCACACGUGGCUGAUAGCGUUGCGAUCUCCGCUUGAAUCUUGGGACUCAACCCAGGCCCGACAGCCUCGAAGCUGACACGAAAGAAAACUGUAACCAUGGAAGCCCUAUUCAUGGAGCUGGAAAAAUACAUCAGAUCAGACAAAGACCACAGAAGAAGAGUGGUGGAAAGAAAUAAUCAAAGGCAAUCAGAAAAAACAGAAAUUGGCAAGCUUUGCCCUACAACCGCAACCAAAACUAAAACUUCAAUCACAACUAAAACUCCAGCCACAGCCAAAAUCACCACCACCACCAAAAUAAUAACCACCACCAAGCCAACCAAAUCAUGGCAAUUGAAGGCAAUCAAUACCCAAGUCAAGGCUACAAUCACUAGCAACACAACCGAAGUCAGAAUAACUUCAGCAACAGCUAGAAAGGAGGCCACUCGUGAAGGAGGAGAGGGCGAGCUAGCACUCCUUUGAAGGCAACCAAUAACAGGCAGCCAAGACCACUAUACUGCACGUUCCGUGGAAAACAGCUGAAUCACGGCAUGGACUGGUGCCCAAUCUCGCUUGAUGUUAAGGCAAAAAGAGAAGCUGAAAAGAAGGCCGUAGAAGAGGCAGCGCUCGCAGCAGCUCAAGCACCCAGAACCAUUCAUCACACCACUUUCCUCACAAACUCACCAUACUAUCCAAACCAACCUAACCUUGCAGGUUUUCAACAGCCAAUGGCCUGACAACCCUCACCUUUUUUCCAUCCUCAGUUCCCUGUAGCGUCACCGAACCAAAAUCAACCACACCCACAACCUCGACAUGAGCUACCUCCACCGCCACCAAACCUACCCAUUGAAAUCCCAAUGGCCGAGCCAAACCCACCAAACAACAACCCAAAAGCUAUACCAACCUAUGGCAUGAUAAUGCCAAUAUCUGGAGGAUCUUCGCAGUCCAAACUUCGCGAAAGCAGCCCCAACGCCAUAUCGACUUUCGGAAUGAUAAUGCCGACCACUGGCGGAAAUUCACUCGAGUUUGACAACAAGAGAUAGAAGCGAGAUUACUUCAGACAAGUAAACACAAUCAUCCCCAAUGGGCCUCCAGCGAAACCAGAAUGGGCCCACAUACCAAUAACUUUCAUUGAGGAGGAUUUUAAGCUCAAAACAGCAUCGCACAAUGAUGCAAUGGUAAUUGAGGCAAUCAUAGCCAACUGGCAAAUAGGGAAAGUACUGGUUGACACCGGUAGCUCGGCAGACAUCAUCUUCGCCAACACUUUCAGAGAAAUGAAGAUUGGUCCUCACCUGCUUGAACUGCCCGAAGUUCCGCCACUUGGCUUCGGUGGAAGGCCAGUAAGAGCUCUGGGAAAAAUCUCAUUGCCGGUCUCAUUCGGAAACAUCGACAAUGCAAGAAUGGAACGAAUUACCUUCUAUGUGGUCGAGAUGCACUACCCCUAUUUUGCCAUCCUUGGUUGGGGCUUCAUCAAAUUUGAUGCAAUCAUCAGGCAGCUGUUCCUUUGCAUGAAAAUACCAACCUUGAAAGGGAUCAUCACUAUGUAUGGAUAUCAACAGGCGGCAAGAAACAUUGAAAAGGGCACAACUCCGGGACAGAAAAAUGUCCAUCAUUUAGCCAACCAAAGCAAAGCCGACCAACAAGAUAAAAAGAAGCCUUAUGUCGAGCCAAAGAGGGACAAAGAAAAGAUCAAAAUCAGCGCCGAUGGCGAAACCAAAAGGGUACUGCUGGAUGGAUACGUCGAGGACAGAUAUGUCACCAUCGGGGCCAAUCUCGAGCCCGAAGAAGAAUAUGAGCUAAUCAAGUUUUUGAAGAAGAACAACGAUGUCUUCGCUUGGUCCGCGGGUGAUCUCAAAGGGGUGGAUAGAGAGAUAACCGAACAUGGCCUUGACAUCAGGCCAGGUGAGAAGCCAAAGAAACAAAAGUUGAGAAAAAUGUCUGACGAAAAAGUUCAAGCGGUGAAAGUAGAAGUGGACAGACUGCUCGAAGCUAACGUGAUUAGGCCGAUCCUCUACCUAGAGUGGUUGGCAAAUACUGUCCCGGUCAAGAAAAAGAACGGUAAAUGGAGAAUGUGCAUCGACUUCAGAACAAGGUUUGUCCCAAAGACGACUACCGGCUUGAAAGAGUAGACAAAGUCGUGGACGAUGCUGCGAAUAGUGCAAUGCUCUCAUUACUGGACUUGUUCUCGGGCUAUCACCAAAUAAGAAUUAAGGAGGAUGAAGGAAAGAUAGGUUUUGUAACUCCAUUUGGAACAUUCUGUUAUGUAAGAAUGCCAGAGGGGCUGAAGAACGCAGGCCAGACCUUCUCUAGAAUUAUCGCCAUUAUCCUCGCCAAGCAGCUUCGUAGGAACAUACUUGUUUAUGUUGACGACAUAUUCGUCAAAAGCGACAGAAGGGAUUCGCGAUCUCGCAGAAACUUUUGCUAACCUAAGAGUAGCGAAUUUCAAAUUAAACCUAGAGAAGUGUGUCUUCGGGGUGCAGAGAGGCAAGGUUCUAGGAUGCUUGGUUACAACCAAAGGCAUUCAGGCCAACCCUGAUAAGAUUCAAGCACUUCUCGACAUGAAGGAGCCUCCUUCAGUCAAAGAUGUUCCACGGUUAACUGGGAGAGUGGCUGCACUUAACAGAUUUAUCCCUCGCACUGCAGAACGGAACUUACCUUUCUUCAAGGCUCUACGAAGCUCCAAAACCUUCUGUUGAUGCCAGAUUUUGACACGUAUGGAAUCGGCGUCAAGAAGGGAAAGAAUCAGCUGAUGCGGCGAGGCACGGAGGUCACGAUUGGGAAUCGGCCGAUUGGUGCUACAGUUGGGGAUCGGCCGAUUGGUGCUGCAAUGUUUCGACGAAGGGAGUUGAUGAAAAUCGGCUGAUCGACAGGCUGGAAUAGUUUGGCCAAUAUGGCUCAGGGUGGAUUACGAGGAUAAAGGUGGUCGGCCCACAGAACACAGCAAUCAACUCCGAUACGAGUCAUACUUGUAAAUAUUCGUUUUCGUUUAAAAUUAGAGAUAGAGUCCUAGUCGGUUAAGAGAUUGUUUGUAACAGGCUAUAAAUAGCCGCCUUCAAGUAAGCGACUUCGCCAAUACUUUUCUUACUUUCACGAGUUCGUGCGGGUUGGCGGGGCUGCAUCAGCUUGAUCUCCGGCCGAUUCUGUAAGUUCCGUUUAUCGAGUAAUAUCUAAGCUUUAACUUCGGGCGCAUCGCUGUCGUUUCGUUUAGGUUUAUUCACUAGUUAUCGAUAUUCACUAGAAUUCUAGGUUUUACCUGUUAAUCUAGUUUUAUCACCAGUUAUCCAGCUUGAAAUUAGAACUUUCGGCUUACUUAUAUCCUAUUGCUUAAUCUACUACCUUGUGCAUAGCCGAUUAAGAUCUGUUUCUAGUGUUGCUACUGUAGCGUUGUUUAGUGUACUCUAGCAGUAUUCUUCACCAACGUUAUCUGGUAAUCGGCUGUAUUAUAGCCGAUUUCUUUAUUAUAGCAAAUCGGCCGAUUCGCUGAUAAGCUUCCUCGAGAUCGGAACCUUAGCUGAUCGCAACCUCUGGGACCUGACACGUUUCUCUCCUUGCCAAUCAACAGGUCAGAUUGGCUGGCACGCCGCGCGAACCGCACCAGGGCGAUCACCCGAACAGCAGUUAAGCAGAUUCUCCCGGGUCGUGUGUCCGACGCUAGAGAUUCAAUCGGCUGAUUUCUAGCGCCAACACACUUUUGGCACGUCCGGUGGGACCAAUACAACCGCUACCAUGUCGAAAGCUGCCGAAAUCUCGGGAGACAACGUCAUCGAGGUAACUGAAGCAGACCUCAAGGACGACCAGAAGGAAGAGUUGGAGAAGCAGAUAGCAUACUACCGGAAGACGUGCUUACAAUCCUUCAGUCGUACCAGGAGCAGGGAAACUUUCAGGAAAGCUCCUUUUCCAACUCCCCGCCAGAUUACAAUCGUCGAGGACUCGGGCAAGAUGUCCGAGAUGGUUCAACAGUCCGUCUAUCAAGCUUUCAUUGAUCAAUCCCCGGUGAUAACUGAUACGGUAUACAAUGCCGUCAUCAGCACCUUGGCCAACGGCGUAUCCCAAGGAUACCAGGGGUCGGCAUACCCAUCACAGCCCCGGUCAGAAGUUCUCCAAGUAUACCCUACUCGGCUCCUCAGCCGACCCAAGCUCAGACUGGGGGUUCCAGCACCCCUUCAUCGUCAAUGCAUCUGGGGCAUAACGGCGCACCAUAUCUCCAGCCACAUGCGCUGCCCCAAUCCAUUCAGUUAUCCUCCGCGCAUUUGUCUUCUCUGAAUUCAGUGCCUUGGGGGGCACCAUCGACGACGGCCGUCCAAGAUCAAUCGGCUAGCUAUGGAAGCUCUUCGAUCCAGGCACCUUUCCAAUCGGCCGUACGACCGAUGAUUCCACAGUAUCAACCAACCGCGCUGGAGAUGGGCAGGGGGGCAGAAACAACGGAAGCAUUUCGGGGCGCUGCACCGAUUGUACUAUAUGAUGAAACGGCCGGUUCACUGAAACAGCCGAUGCCGACUACACAGCCAGUCGCGUCACCCUAGGCGCCGCACGCGUUCGUCCACCACCCUGUUAUUCCACCGCCGAUCUACCAACACGUGCCGGUUCCCCAGCCGAUAGUUCAUCAACAACAAGCAGACUGGACGACACGGAUAGCAGAGGUGAUUCAAGAACAAUUCCGUUUAAAGCCGAAGGUGCAAACCUACACAUACAGAACGCCGUACCCGCCUACCUAUGACUUACUGCCGUUUCCCCAUCGGUACAAAGUUCCUGAUUUCACCAAGUUUUCGGGGCUUGAUGAUACCUCAACUGUGGAACACGUAAAUAGAUUCAUCAUCCAAUGUGGGGAGGCAGCUACACAAGACGCUCUACGGGUACACCUCUUCUCGUCAUCACUGUCCGGGUCGGCCUUCCAAUGGUUUACUACACUGCCACCCAACUCCAUAAUUACAUGGGCCGACUUGGAGAAGCAGUUCCACAAAUACUUCUACGCGGGGGUACAUGAGAUGAAGCUUUCAGACUUAACCAGCCUCAGACAGAGGAGUGAUGAGCCGGUGUCCACAUACGUGCAGCAGGGAGAUCAGGAACAAAUGCUACACCCUAGUCGUAACCGACGCACAAUUGGCCGAUAUAGCCUUCCAGGGUCUCCUGCCUCAUAUCAAAGAGAAAUAUGCUUCACAGGAGUUCGAGAGCCUGAGCCAAAUCGUACAUCGAUUGUCUGGUCAGGAAGUACGUCCCAUUGAUCCACGGAGGAAUUUCCAGAAAAAGGUGGCGUACUUAGAAGGGGCUGAGUCCGAAGAAGAAACAGAAGUCGGCCUGGCGGAGUGGGUUAAAGGGAAGAAGCUGAUAUCAUGUCCGUUCGAGAAAAAGGAGCCGGAGGCAUUCGGUUUCGACACGUCAAAGGCCGAUAAAAUCUUCCAUCUCCUUCUCCAGGAAGGACAAAUCAAGCUCUCACCAUACCAUACCAUCCCAUCGGCCGAACAGCUAAAUAAGAUGAAAUAUUGCAAGUGGCAUAAUGCCACCUCCCAUGAUACGAACGAAUGUAAAAUCUUCCGAUAGCAAAUACAAUCGGCCAUUGAGCAAGGCAGGCUCAAAUUCGAUGUCUCGACAAAGCUAGCAAAGCCGAUGAAGAUCGAUCAGCAUCCCUUCCCUGCCAACAUGGUUGAUACAGGAAGGAACUCACUCCAGACCAAGGUGCUAACGUCAGAAUCGGCUAAAAAGAGCGGCGCCGUAGACCCCAGGAAUCAAGCGGCGCCCGAAGACAUCAAAGGGAAACGGCGGAUGGAAGAUGAAGGCGAAGGAUCGGGAGAACCACGCCGGCCCAUCACCUCCCAAUUUCUACUCAACAAGUAUCAACGGCAACAAGAAAGUUCAAGAUUCUGAGAAGAGAUGAUGCGACGACAUGAAGAUCACUAGCGAUGCCCGUUCUUCAUCCACUGCUGGGAGAGUAACCUUAGAUUGCCGUCGGCCGACAAUUGCCCCAAGUGCAACGGCCCAUAUCGUAACAAUCGGCCAUUUAGAAGAUGUCGCUCCAGAGAUGGAAGGCCAGAGCCGAUCAGUAGAAACUGGCGCGAGCAAGAGGAUCGGUGCCUUUCAGUGCGUGAUCGGCUGGGGGGGCAGAAGUGAUCGAUAUGAUCAGUCAGAAGACAGGCGUGAACGAAACGAUAGGCCGGGGGGCAGAUUCGAUCGACGCGACCAACCAGAGGGCAGAGCUAGCGCACACGAUCGGCUGAAAGAGAUGGCCGACGCUCGGGUAUCAGAUGAAAAUCCCUUGGGACGGGAACCAGAAUGGGAACAAGCCAGGCCGUCGGCUAAACCAGUAAACCCCAGGUGGUGUCCUGAUGGAUUGACCAAAUCACAAAAACGAAGAAUCCAGCGUCUCCGCCAAUGGGAACAACAGGAAGAGGAGCAACAACAGGUGAUGAACAAGAAAAAUGAUAGGCCUCGGGUGUGGCGCCCCAGAAGAAAUGACAGGGAGGGCGAUGACAACCAAGGAUCGGCAGCCGAUGUCAGCAUGGUGUUCAUUCUGCCGAUGGAAUUCAUGACUCCUGCCGACCAACAUAACAUGUCGGCGAUAGAAGAACAGAUGACGCAAUUGGCUUUGGAGCCAAUGACAGCCACAUUCGUGAAACCCGAGGACGAAAAACAGCAACACCUCAAGGCAUUAUUCCUCAAAGGACAUGUCAACGGCCGACCCGUCACCAGAUUACUAGUAGAUAGAGGAGCUGCUGUCAACAUCAUGCCGUACGCCAUGUUCCGAAAGCUAGGAAAAGUGACGAUGAUCUGACCAAAACGGACAUGAUGCUCAAUGACUUCGAAGGCAACGUGUCUCCCGCCCGCGGCGCGCUCUGCGUCGACCUCACCAUCGGCAGUAAGACUCUUCCCACCACUUUCUUUAUUAUCAAUGGCAAAGGGUCUUACAACAUGCUACUCGGCCGGGACUGGAUUCACACAAAUUGCUGCAUCCCGUCUACAAUGCACCAAUGCCUCGUGCAAUGGGUCGGCGAUAACAUCGAGGUGGUCACCGCCGAUUCCGCGUACAGCGUCGCGGCGGCCGAUGCACAGCAAUGGAGCUGCGAGAACGUCAAGUGCAUAUCCGGGAGAAUUUGGGACACUGAUUUCCUGAAGGUGUCCGAUUUUGGUCUACAGCCGAUCCGAGCAGUCGGCUCCGAAGAUUCAGAUUAAAUGGAUCAGUUCAUCCGGGAAGACGGGAAGCUAGGGCACGGGUUCACGUCGGCCGAUUCAUCAGAGAUGAUAGAUUUAGGCGAUGGCACCAAGCCAAGGCCGACGUACAUUAGUGCUAAUUUGGAUCCGGAAUACAAAUGUAAAUUGACAAAUUUAUUGAAAGAGUUUAAGGAUUGCUUUGCUUGGGACUAUCAUGAAAUGCCGGGAUUAGACCAAUCCAUUGUCGAACACCGGCUGCCCAUAAAGCCGGGAUAUCGACCAUAUCAGCAACUUGCGCGACGAUGUAAUCCUAAAAUCUCACCUGAUAUAAAGGCCGAAAUCAAAGGCUGAUUGAAGCAAAAUUUAUUCGGCAGUGCCGUUAUGCCGAAUGGAUCUCCAACAUCGUGCCCGUAUACAAGAAGAACGGAAAGCUACGCGUGUGCAUUGACUUCAGGAACCUUAAUCAGGCUACGCCGAUGGACGGAUACCCGAUACCGACGGCCGAUAUUUUAAUAGACACCGCCGCGGGUCACAAAGUCAUCAGUUUCAUGGAUGGAAACGCCGGAUACAAUCAAAUACUAAUGGCCAAAGAGGACAUAUCGAAAACAGCUUUCAGGUGCCCAGGUCACCUCGGAUUGUUCGAAUGGGUGGUAAUGACUUUCGGUUUGAAGAACGCCGGCGCUACGUAUCAACGAGCCAUGAACUACAUAUUUCACAAACUUAUCGGCAUACUAGUAGAAAUUUACAUCGAUGAUGUCGUGGUCAAAUCAAAAGGACACCAGGAACAUCUGGCCGAUUUGCGGCAAGUGUUGGAAUGCACGAGAAGGCAUGGGUUAAAAAUGAAUCCGAACAAAUGUGCUUUCGGCGUAUCCGCCGGACAAUUCUUGGGUUUCAUGGUUCAUGAGCGUGGAAUAGAGAUCAACCGGAAGACUAUAGCGGCUAUCAAUAAAGUCGUGGCCUCGCAGAACAAAACCGAGUUGCAAUCCUUGAUCGGCAAGGUCAAUUUCAUCAGAAGAUUCAUAUCCAACCUGUCCGGAUGUAUCCAGGCCUUCACACCGUUAUUAAAAUUAAAACCCGACCAAGAAUUCGUGUGGGGGAGAAGAGCAAUGCAAAGCUCUAGAAGACAUCAAGCAGUACUUGGCCUCGCCUCCCGUGUUGGUCCCACCACAAACUGGUAAGCCGUUCAAGCUGUAUUUAUCGGCCGAUGAGCGAGCUAUCGGGUCGGCGUUAAUCCAGGAGUUUGAGGGAAAGGAACGAGUAAUAUAUUAUGUUAGCAGAAGACUUUUGGACGCCGAAACAAGAUAUCCCCCGGUAGAGCGGCUAUGCUUAUGUCUUUACUUCUCAUGCACCAAGCUCAGGCACUACUUAUUAUCGGCAGAAUGCGUAGUUGUAUGCAAGGACGAUGUAGUAAAGUACAUGCUGUUAUUGCCGAUUUUGAAAGGAUGGAUCGGAAAGUGGAUUUUGGCUUUAUCGGAGUUUGAUCUACGAUAUGAAUCGGCAAAAGCCAUCAAAGGUCAGGUUAUGGCCGAUUUCAUCGCCCAGCACCGCAGACCAGAAAUCGCCGUCGUGGAACCAGUACCGUGGACCUUAUAUUUUGAUGGCUCGUCAUGUGGGGCCGGAUCAGGAAUCGGCAUCGUUCUCAUAUCGCCUCGGGGGGCAAGUUAUGAUUUCUCUUUGCCGAUAGAAGCAUCCACCACCAAUAACCAGGCGGAGUACCGGGCUGUCCUAAAAGGGUUACAAUUGCUAAGAGAGAUUAAGGCCGACGCCGUCGAGAUUUUUGGAGAUUCCAUGCUCAUCGUGGACCAAUUUGAUAGGAAGAUCCGAGUACAAGGAUGACGUGUUAAGGAUUUAUUAUGAAGAUUGCCUCCAGCUUCUGAAAGAAUUCAAAUCCGCGGUUAUUGAGCAUAUCCCCAGGGAUUAUAAUGAAGAGGCCAACAGGCUUGCCCAGCACGCAUCCGGGUAUUGGCCGAUUCAAGGUGCCAUGGUUCUGGAACUCACGGCCGACGACUGGCGAAAGGAGAUCGCCGAUUAUUUGAAAGACCCGUCUAAGAAAGUGGAUCGGCGAAUACAAUUUCAGGCCACAAAAUAUGUGUUACUGGAAAACGACUUGUUCUACCGGACGAUUGAUGGUGUUCUACUCAAAUGCCUAGGGACGAAGGAGGCAAAGACCCUGAUGGGAGAGAUCCACGAAGGUGUGUGCGGAGCUCACCAAUCGGCACAUAAAAUGAAGUGGAUGAUCAGGAAUAAUGGGUAUUACUGGCCGACAAUCCUUGAGGACUGUUUCAAAUGUUAUAAAGGAUGCCAAGAUUGUAAAAAAUAUGGGAACGUGCAACGCGUGCCCGCAUCGGCUAUGAAUCCAAUUAUCAAGCCAUGGCCGUUCAGAGGUUGGGGAAUAGACCUCAUCGGACAAAUUUAUCCUCCGUCAAGUAAAGGACAUAAAUUCAUUCUGGUAGCCACAGAUUUUUUCACCAAAUGGGUGGAGGUAAUUCCAUUAAAGGCCAUAACGUCGGCCGCUAUGGUCGAUUUCGUAAGGGACCAUAAUGUCUAUCGUUUCGGCAUCCCUCAGACUAUCACAACCGAUCAAGGGACGAUGUUCACGUCGGGAGAGUUUGAGGAGUUCACGGCCGAUAUGGGGAUCAAGCUGCUAAAUUCCUCCCCGUAUUAUGCUCAAGCUAACGGCCAGGCCGAAUCUUCCAAUAAGGGGAUAAUUAAGUUGAUCAAGAGGAAGAUUGGGGAACAACCCAAAAAAUGGCACUUAUGUCUAACCGAAGCUCUAUGGGCAUACAGGAUGGCCUGCCACGGGGCUACUAAGGUGUCCCCUUAUCAACUGGUGUACGGUCAUGAGGCGGUAUUGCCGUGGGAGUUGAGAACAGGACAAGACGUACGUUGCUUCAAGAUCAGCUGACGGCCGAUGAUUACUCCUCGCUCAUGAAGAGAGAACUCGACGAUUUGGCGGGUCAGCGUUUGAGAGCCUUGAACAGUAUUGAGGAAAACAAAAAGAAAGUGGCCAGAUGGUAUGACAAGAAAGUCAAAGUCAAGCAGUUCUCCCAAGGGGAUUUGGUAUGGAAGUUAGUGCUGCCGAUUGGAUCUAAAGAUCCUAAAUUCGGUAAAUGGUCUCCCACUUGGGAAGGGCCGUAUAGAAUCGGCCGAUGCGCUCCGGGAAACACGUACAUUCUGGAAACAAUCGAAGGGGAAGAAUUUACUAGGGCAUUGAACGGGAGGUACUUGAAAAGAUACUACCCCAGUAUAUGGGUCGAUGCAUAAAAAUCAUUAUGAGGCAUGGCAGGACAGAACGGUUGUUUCCUGGAUAAUCAUGUGGCCGAUGCAGAAAAAGGAAUCGCCUAAAGGAGAAAAAUAAUCGUUCAAAUUGGCCGAUUUAUCAUUUGGUACGGACGAUGAGUUACACGGCCGACGCGGUACAAGUCGCCCUUAGAACAAAAAAUACUCAACUGCUUUUCUUCUUGAGUUCCCUCUCAAUCCGACCUAAUUCUAUCAAGAGGCGGGUGCUUCGUUCUUCCACAUCUCUCAUCGCGGCCUCCGCCUCAACCUGGCGAGGAAGGGGAUGGCUCCGAUCCAACACGGGGCGAGAUGUCCCCGCCGCGGCAUUUUCAAGGACAACCGGACGAGGGAGUGGGUGGCUCCUGUCAACUUGCGGUUGCCUGUAACCGUUGCCAUCAAUGAAGUCCCAAAUCCGUUGGACGUCGGCGGGAACGUGAUCUCUGAGUUCUUCACGGUGUGCCUUGAUCAAGUCCCUGUCCUCUUACGACAAUGGCUCAUCAAAGUGUUUGAGUUCGAUCGCCCAUUCGAGUUCGGGGCUAAGGCGCCUUGGCUGAAAAGGUUAACAUAUAACUGCCUAAAAGUUAGGACGAUUUAAAGGAAUAAAACUGAAAGAAGCGAAGACGGAUCUCGUACCUGAUUGACAGAAGAGGAGGAGAAAGAAGAAGAUGAAAAAGACAUGACUGUGAAUGUUCCAAUAGAAACAUAAUCGGGGAGAAACGAAUCAAGUGGAGCAGGUGUUCUCAAGAGCGAAACCAGGGCCGGUAUUUAUAAGAAGAGAAAGGGUGGGGGUUUGGUAAGAUGCGUCCCGUCAGAGUAAAAGGGGUAAUAAAUAAGAGGACGCCACGAAGGACGGUCAAAAGGCAUUAAUGUUCUUACAAAACGGCCAGUACUUUUACAGAUCAUCCCAGAAGGGCGUUAAUGGCCGCGAUCGCUCGACGCCUGAUCUGAUCGGCCGAGUCUAAGACUCGCUGGUCAUCCUCCGUCGACCCUGGAACUUUUGACAUAUGGCGAUGAAGUUUGAGGGCCUCGUGGGCCAGAUGCUGCCUCUCCUGCUUUAAAUCGGCAAUAACGGAGGGGAGUUCCUGAAGCUUCUUGUUUUUAAUGGCUAUCUCUUUGGUUACUUGCUCCAUCUCCUUGGCAAGUUCCGCCCUUCGGCGCUUGGGACGAUCUAUUGUGCCGACGAGUCCAGGUCGGGAGUUCUCGAGGAAGUGAAUGCGAUGCUGUACCUCCUGGGCCCGAUGCUUGUACGAGUCCUCUUUCUCGUGAGUCUUGGCUAGCUUGGCACGAUCGGCCAUGUGACGCAGAGCCCUAAAGACCGGGAUCCGCAUCGAUUCAAUAUAAGCGGCGGGGGCCAAGGCUUCUUCUGCUUCCUCUGGGACUCGGCCGCUGACGUCACCAAAGAGCUGCCGAAUCGGCGAGGCGUCCUCCACCAAUCGGCUGAUGUCUUCUUGAAGAAGGGACCGUAUACUUUCAAGCUUAGCGCGGACGUCAUCGGGGACGGAGCUCAAAGUGACUUGUCGAGAAGCGACUUCCUCGUCAUCAGAGAGCGCGACCGCGAAUGAGAAGAGGCUAUUAUUGGGAGUAUCUUGUUCCUGCAAAAUGAUAAAUAAAAGGAAAAUAAGUCAGCCAAUGGUGGUAGCAAAUCGGCCAAUGCAGGUUAAAUGACUUCUUACUUCUUUGAAGCGGAUCUCUUCCAUCUGCGUUUGCGGAACCGCUACUCUCGACUCGGGGACUGGUGCAAUUGGCUCAUCGGAAGAAGAGGAUUCGACAACGAUCGGCGUUCUGCUCGGGCCGGCCUCUUGAGGGACUUCUCUGACAGGUGACUGGUCGGAUGGCAUAGUUAACGUGCUGAUAACCUGCGUCAAGGUUGGUAAGAUCAUCAUUCAGAUAUUAAAGAAUUGAGUUGAGAGAUCAUGUACCUCAACGGGAGGGGGGACUGGUAUUUCAACUUCUGCUUGGGGCAUCACCGAUUGCUGUGGAUCUACUGGGGUAAUCUGUGCGGCCUAAUAUAGGAAAGGUCAGUAUGGAAAUAACAACCAGGAGAGAUCAGAUGACGAGUUUACCUGCAUGGCUUCCACUAAUAAUGAUGCGGCAGCCGCUCCGGCUUCUGUAGCAGCUUGGAGGUAAACUUCUUCAGCGACCGGGAGGGUCGGCGCAGCCAAAGUUUCCGCCGAUACAACCGUGGGUGGAUCGGCCGAUUCUGUGUGGGCGCGCACCCGGCGGCUUGUUUUCUUGACAACUUUCUUCUGUGUUUGCUUCAACCGGCCAGCAAUGUUGUCAACAGAGGGAGCAUGAUAGCCGAUAAGGGGGAACUCCGUGUACGGGUAACGGUCCUCUAUCGGCCGACCGCUCCGGCUACGUUUCGGAGGAGCACGGCUCUCAGACUGAAAGAAACAAAAAGAGUCAGUAGCAUAUAAAAGGAGGGGGUUGGAAAUCGGCUAAAGAAGGAGCGAUACCUCUGCGUUCGGGUCGAUGUGGUUGGAGACCAGGAUAUUGCAAUAUAUCGCCGCAGAAGCACAUAAUAGAUGUUGUUUCCAUUCUACCCACCAUAGCUUGAAUUGCUGGACGGCAAAAGGAGCCACUAUCCAAUCGGCCAGGUCUAUGGUGCUGGAAUCUGGAAUCCGGUCGUACAGCCGACUGUAAUCGAGACCUGUAGUGAGCUCGUUUCUGAAUUUUACUCGGCCGGCGAAAUAUGCAUAAAUCGGCAGUUGACCUAGGCCGAAUUGCCGUGCUGCAACAGAAGGGUUGUAAAACUCAUAGGUGGGGGCAUCCUUCCCUGAAAAGAAGUUAGCCGGCAGGAUCCCUGGCUUGAUCAAUUCAUCCGUGAGCUCCUCAUCAAAUGUACCGGUCGUCGAGUCAAAGCAAGAGGGGAGUUCAAAGAGUGGUUCCUCCCUUUGAUAAGGGAACCAGCUGGUCGCAUCUUCACUGAAGCCAUUGUAGAAGCAUCUGAAGUACUCGGCCACCUUGGAGGCAGAAUAUGGGCAACCAGGGAAGGCCGAUGCUGCUUCGCCGAAGGAAGUGCACCAGCGCCGUACAGUGGGGUUCUCUGCCGAUUCAAUGUUGGGGAACGUCAUGUAUUCCACCCGCUGCUAAGAGAUCUUGCUCGUAUACAGAUUGAGCCACAAAUUGAUGAACCACCAGGAUCCACCUGGGUUUCCGAUCGGCUCUCCCUUAGAUAAUUUGACGCCGAUCUGGUGGAGCAUGUGGUAGGCCGAUCCCAGUAGAUGCUUACCGAGAGGGACAGAAGCCCCUAUCGAUAGUGCCUCGGCCAGAGCCUAUGUAUUGGAGGAUGGACCAGCUGCUCUCCCGCAAAAUAAGUGCUUCUCUAGCCACAUCAUCAGGAAGGCCGCGUGCUCUCUCUCCGCCACUGUCCCAGUCCUCUUGUUGCUCUUGAUGAAUCCUUUCCACCCGCCGAUUCCCUUUGUCUCCAGCCGAUGGGACGUUUUGACCAGAUAACGAAAAGGAGUAUCGGGAGAGGAGAUGUCAAGGCCAGUCAACAUGACCACAUCGGCCAGGGUGGGAGUCAUGGGCCCAUGUCCGAAGAGGAAUGCGUUGAGAGCGUCGGACCAAAAAUAGGAGGCUGCUAUUACUAGAGGCUCAUUCCUUUCCAUUUGAGACAAGGACAAAUCGAUACACUGGCCGAUUUUAUGCUCGUCCCAUUGAACUCUUUUGGAGGCGGCUAUCCGUUAUUACCAUUCCCUCCAACCGAGGGUUUCAUUCGGCCAUGAUCUGAAAGUACUUGACCAGUAGUCUAGGUCCAUGGUUGAUUGCUUGAAUGGAAUCCUAUGGGUUUCCAAGUUGAUCAAGUCAGUUGGAUCUGGGUUUCCCAUGGGGCCAAGGCAGAUAAGACCAGGGGUUUCAGUAAGGCGAAUGGUAAUCUGGUGUCUAACUGCCUAGAAAAGGAAAAAAGGGGACGGAAGUAAGAACGGAUCUAAGGUAAAUGCAUUGGUAUUAAAGAAAGAGAGGUUUCGGUAAAAACCUCCGGUAUGAAGCUCAUCGUGGUUGACGGGAUCGCCGGCGGAGCUACGGGUGCUGAAGCCGUCGGUACGGCCUCCGUCGAAGCUCCCGCUCUCGCCGAUGGAGCUCCCGUUCCUGCCAAUGGAGCCGCCGCCAUUGCUGCUGGAGUCGCCGCUAGUGGAGCCGUCUCCGGGACUUUGGAUGUUGGUGAAGUGCCUGAGGGUGUCGCCAUCGGAGAGAUGGAAUGUAGAUGGAAAAGGUCGCCGGGGGGAAAGAUUGGAGGCUAAGGAGAUGCCGGAGGAAGAAGGAGAUCAGUGCGCCAAAGAAGGAAGACGUGAGCUCGUGAAAAGAAGUACGGGACGUGCUGAUAUUUAAGGGUGGUCUGAGAAGGGGUAAAAGCAGGAUUUUUACCUCGCCAGCGGUUUGAUUUUUUCGGGAGGAGUGGUUGUCGUGGGCGCCCAUUUCGAAAAGAUUGCAAUCAUCAGGCAGAAGACCGCAAAACAGCAGGGUAUUUUCAAUGUGUUUGUUUCGGAAGGGAAGUUGAAAGGAAUUUCGAAGUAAAGAUUAUAUUUUACUUCGAAACUGGGGGGCAUGUGUUGACGCCAGAUUUUGACAUGUAUGGAAUCGGCAUCAAGAAGGGAAAGAAUCAGCUGAUGCGGCGAGGCACGGAGGUCACGAUUGGGAAUCGGCCGAUUGGUGCUACAGUUGGGGAUCGGCCGAUUGGUGCUGCAAUGUUUCGGCGAAGGGAGUUGAUGAAAAUCGGCCGAUCGACAGGCUGGAAUAGUUGGGCCAAUAUGGCUCAGGGUGGAUUACGAGGAUAAAGUUGGUCGGCCCACAGAACACAGCAAUCAACUCCGAUACGAGUCAUACUUGUAAAUAUUCGUUUUCGUUUAAAAUUAGAGAUAGAGUCCUAGUCGGUUAAGAGAUUGUUUGUAACAGGCUAUAAAUAGCCGCCUUCAAGCAGGCGACUUCGCCAAUACUUUUCUUACUUUCACGAGUUCGUGCGGGUUGGCGGGGCUGCAUCAGCUUGAUCUCCGGCCGAUUCUUUAAGUUCCGUUUAUCGAGUAAUAUCUAAGCUUUAACUUCGAGCACAUCGCUGUCGUUUCGUUUAGGUUUAUUCACUAGUUAUCGAUAUUCACUAGAAUUCUAGGUUUUACCUGUUGUUCUAGUUUUAUCACCAGUUAUCCAGCUUGGAAUUAGAACUUUCGGCUUACUUAUAUCCUAUUGCUUAAUCUACUACCUUGUGCAUAGCCAAUUAAGAUCUGUUCCUAGUGUUGCUACUGUAGCGUUGUUUAGUGUACUCUAGCAGUAUUCUUCACCAACGUUAUCUGGUAAUCGGCUGUAUUAUAGCUGAUUUCUUUCUUAUAGCAAAUCGGCCGAUUCGCUGAUAAGCUUCCUCGAGAUCGGAGCCUUAGCCGAUCGCAACCUCUGGGAUCUGACACGUUUCUCUCCUUGCCAAUCAACAGGUCAGAUUGGCUGGCACGCCGCGCGAACCGCACCAGGGCGAUCACCCGAACAGGAGUUAAGCAGAUUCUCCCGGGUCGUGUGUCCGACGCUAGAGAUUCAAUCGGCUGAUUUCUAGCGCCAACACCUUCCAAUGGGGGGAGGAACAGAGCAAAGCUUUCCAAGAACUAAAAGAUUACUUGCAAUCCAUGACCAAAUUGUGCCCUCCCGAACCCAACUCACCACUCUUGCUCUAUGUCUCAGCCUCGGGCAUGGUAGUCACUGCAACUCUUAUCCAGGAGAAAGAAAUCGAAGGCACACUAAGGCAAAUACCAGUCUACUUCGCAUCCGAGGCACUUAGCGGCUCGAGGGUACACUAUUCAGAACUAGAGAAAAUUGCUAAUGCUCGGUAAUGGCAGCAUGCAAGCUAUGUCAUUAUUUUGAGGGACACAGAAUAGUGGCUGUCACAAAUCAACCCCUCCAAGACCUCUUCUACAAUAGGGAAGCUUUGGGCAGAAUCGCUAAGUGGGCAUCAGAGUUAUCAGAGUUCGUGGUCAAUUUUGAAAGAAGUGCCAUAAAAUCCCAAGAGCUAACUUCAUAGUUGACUGGACAUCUCCAAACCUGAACCAUAACGAAGUCAAAACACCCUGGGUCAUCUACUGCGAUGGCGCUUGGUGUGAUAAAGGAGCCGGUGUGGCAGCAAUCGUAACCUCGCCAAACGGUGUAAAGAUAAGAUACGCCGUGAGGCUAGAAUUCCCUAAUUGUUGGAAUACGGGGUAGGCUACACUAGCGCAAUUCAAAAAAUCUACCGCGUAUAACCAGGAAGAACUGCCGUAUAAGGAUCACGGGAUUACCACUCGACGCACUACUGGUGCGGAAGAUGUAGAUAUGCGUCGAUGCAGUGAAGACGAUCACGUAGUCGUACGUAGUCGAUCAACGUAGUCGUACGUAGUCGAUCACGUCUAGCAGCUCCUCAGUAGCUCAUCCACGUGCCGCAAGAUCGCCUCCGGUGCCGCGGCUCGUCGUCGGCUCGUCGUGGCUCGUCGGCGGCUCGUCGGCGGCUCGUCCAAGUGCUGCAGGCGCAACACCUCCAAGGUAUCCACACGUGCAGGGAGGAAGCGUCGCAAGCCGGACUGCUAGAUCCGCGAGUUGCAACAGGCGAGGGCGUGGGAGGCGCGGCAGGUGUGUUUCGCCAAAAGGUGUAAACCCUAGGGCGCCCCCACCCCUCUAUUUAUAGAGGUUCCUGACGGGCCUCUUGGUCCGAUGCCCAUUAGUACUUCUAAACCUAAUCCAACUCGGAUCAGAUCCGAAUUGGGCUUCCAGCCCCUUAAGUGUGUGACCCUAUGGGUUCGGAUACGUAUAGACAUGGCCCGAGUACUCCUAUUCGGCCCAAUAGUCGGUAGCGGCCUCUAGCAAGAUGUGCCAACUCCUAUAUGCACACGAAGAUCAUAUCAGACGAACCAUCACAACAUAAUAUACAUGCUAUUCCCUUCGCCUCACGAUAUUUGGUCUAGCUUCAAGCCGACCGCUCUUUCUGGAUCCUGUGAUUCGGAAUCCCUUUGUAGGUUAACUCUUAACCGUACGUAGCAUGGCCAUGCAUUUUCGGAUCCGAUCACUCGAGGGGCCCAGAGAUAUCACUCUCAAUCAGAGAGGGGCAAAUCCCAUCUUGAUUGACCAUGUCUCAUAGCAUGCUUCUUGACAAACCCGAAAGCUACCUUUAUAACUACCCUGUUACGGCGUAGCGUUUGAGCCCCUAAGUAGGUCGAUCCACAUCUAGAAUACAUGCGACAAUCUCAGGUGUAAGGACAAAGCGUAUAUGUUGUUUAAAGAGAGAACUACUUCUCGUGUUGGGUCAGUCCUAGCACAUGUCUCCACAUGUGUCCACAUUAUUAGUUCAACAUCUCCAUGUCCAUGACUUGUGAAACAUAGUCAUCAACUAAUACAUGUGCUAGUCUAAUAUUCAUGUGUGUCCUCACAUGAACUCCGACUAGGGACAACUUUAGAAUAACCAUACAAGUAAAGAGUUUCACAUAUAAUUCACAUAAUUGCAAAUCAAUUCAAGUAGCCUUUAAUGGAUAUUCAAUGAACACAAUAUACAAAUCAUGGAUAUAAAUGGAAUAUCAUCAUCUCUAUGAUUGCCUCUAGGGCAUACCUCCAACAGUCUCCCACUUGCACUAGAGUCAAUCUAGAAGGUACCUAAUAGCCAUAGCUCUUACAUGCGCAUCAUGCUUAGCCUGCGGGAGUGGUUUUGUCAACGGAUCAGAAAUGUUCAGAUCCGUGUGUAUUUUGCAUAUCUUGAUCUCACCCCGGUUAACGAAGUCUCGAAUGAGAUGAAAUCGCCGCAUUACGUGUUUGUUCUUCUGGUGGUUCCUUGGCUCCUUUGCUUGUGCAAUUGCCCCAUUAUUAUCAUAGUAGAGAUUCAAUGGGCUGGACGCAUUCGGGAACACACCAAGCUCAAUGAGGAAAUUCCUUAUCCAAACACCUUCCUUCGCGGCUUCUGAAGCCGUGAUGUACUCGCCUUCUAUCGUAGAAUCGGCCACCGUCUCCUGCUUGGAACUCUUCCAACUAACAACACCACCAUUCAGUGUGAACACAAAUCCUGAUUGUGACUUUGAAUCAUCUCUGUCGAUUUGGAAACUAGCAUCGGUGUAACCUGUUACAACGAGCUCCUCCUCACCUCCAUAGACGAGGAACAUAUCUUUAGUCCUUCUCAAGUACUUAAGAAUGUUUUUCACUGCUGUCCAGUGACUCUCACCUGGAUCAGAUUGGUGCCUGCUUGUCAUACUUAGCGCAUAUGAAACAUCUGGGCGAGUACUUAUCAUUGCAUACAUGAUAGAUCCAAUAGCCGAGGCAUAUGACACUCUACUCAUGCGAUCCCGCUCAUCAGCAGUCGAAGGACACCGAGUCUUUCUGAGAUGUAUGCCAUGUGACAUAGGCAAGAACCCUUUCUUUGCCUCUUCCAUGCUGAACCGCUUCAACACUUUGUCAAUGUAAGUAUCUUGGCUUAAACCUAUAAGCCUUCUCGAUAUAUCUCUAUAGAUCUUAAUGCCCAGAAUAUAUGCCGCUUCCCCUAAGUCCUUCAUCGAAAAACUAUUUUUCAGUGAAGUCUUUACGGACUCAAGCAUAGGAAUGUUAUUUCCAAUCAGUAAUAUGUCAUCCACAUAUAAGAUUAGAAAUACUACAGAGCUCCCACUAACCUUCUUGUAAACACAAGACUCUUCUUCGUUCUUGGUGAAGUAAAACCCUUUGACCACUUCAUCAAAACGAAUGUUCCAACUCCUAGAUGCUUGCUUUAAUCCAUAAAUGGAUCUCUGAAACUUGCAUACCUUUUCAGCAUUUUUCGGAUUGACAAAACCCUCGGGCUGUAUCAUAUACACGUCCUCAGCAAGGUUUCCAUUCAGGAAAGCUGUCUUGACAUCCAUCUGCCAUAUCUCAUAAUCAAAAUAUGCAGCUAUAGCUAGAAUAAUCCGAAUGGACUUAAGCAUCACUACGGGCGAUAAGGUCUCGUCGUAGUCAACUCCUUGAACUUGUCGAAAACCUUUUGCGACAAGUCGUGCUUUAUAGAUGUGAACAUUUCCAUCCAUGUCCUUUUUCUUCUUAUAGAUCCACUUGCACUCUAUGGCUUUAACACCAUCAGGCGGGUCAACUAAGUUCCAAACUUGAUUGUCUCCCAUGGACUCUAUUUCGGAUUGCAUGGCACUCUGCCAUUUUUUGGAGUCUGGGUCCAUCAUUGCUUCUGCAUAUGUCGCAGGCUCAUCAUUGUCCAACAAUAAUAUUUCCCGCAUUUCGCGGAGCCUUGCCGACCUUCGUGGUUGUGGCGGUGCUUCUCUUGCCAUGGGUAUCUCAACUUGUUCUGCUACGUUGGCAUCACUCAUUGAUUCUUGCCCGAUCGGCUCAUCUUGAACUUCUUCAAGAUGCACUGUCUUUCCACUCUUUUCUCCUUUGAGAAACUCUUUCUCUAGGAAAACCCCAUUCUGAGCGACAAACACUUUGCCUUCGAUCGGUUGUAGAAAUAAUAUCCCAAAGUUUCCUUUGGAUAUCCCACGAAAAUGCACUUAUCCGACUUGGGUGUGAUCUUGUCCGACUGAAGUCGCUUGACAAACACUUCACAUCCCCAAAUCUUUAGAAAAGACAAACUAGGAACUUUUCCAGUCCAUAUCUCAUAUGGUGUCUUAACUACGGAUUUAGAUGGUACCCUAUGAAGUGUGAUAGCUGCUGUUUCUAGAGCGUAUCCCCAAAAUGACAACGGUAGGUCCGACUGGCUCAUCAUUGAUCGAACCAUGUCUAACAAAGUUCGAUUACAUCGCUCGGACACACCGUUUCUCUGAGGUGUUCCAGGCGGCGUAAGUUGUGGAACAAUUCCGCACCUCUUUAGAUGAUUGCUAAACUCGUGGCUCAAAUACUCGCCUCCACGAUCAGAUCGUAAGGCCUUAAUUUUCUUGCCACGCUGAUUUUCAACUUCAUUCUGAAAUUCCUUGAACUUUUUAAAGGUUUCAGACUUGUGCCUCAUCAAGUAGACAUAGCCAUAUCUACUAAAAUCAUCAGUGAAAGUUAUGAAGUAUUGGAAUCCUCCUCUAGCCAUCGUGCUCAUUGGUCCGCAUACAUCACUAUGUACGAGUUCCAACAAGUCUACUGCUCUCUCAGGAAAUCCUGUGAAAGGCGUCUUGGUCAUCUUGCCUAGCAAGCAAGCCUCACAUGUCUCGUAUGAUUCAAAAUCAAACGAAGUUAGAAGUCCAUCAGAAUGGAGCUUCUUCAUGCGCUUUUCACUUAUAUGACCCAAAUGACAAUGCAACAAGUAGGUAGGACUCAAAUCAUUAGGCCGAGGCCUUUUAGCACUUACAUUACAGACAGGUGAACCAUCAAGAUUUAAAACAAAUAAUCCAUUCACAAUGGGUGCAAAAGCCAUAAACAUAUUAUUCUUAGAGAUCACACAACCAUUGUUUUCACUCGCAAAUGAAUAACUAUCCUUCAUCAAGCAUGAAGGAGACAAAAUGUUUCGACUUAAACUAGGAACAAAAUAACAAUUAUUCAACUCCAUAAUAAAUCCUGACGGGAGGUGGAGUUGCAUCGUCCCGACGGUCAACGCAGCAACUCUUGCAUUAUUGCCCACGCGGAAAUCAACUUCUCCUCUUUCCACGCUUCUACUUCUUAUCAUUCCCUGCAUCGAAUUGCAAAUAUGAGCAACCGAUCCGGUAUCAAAUUCCCAAGAAUUAAUAAUUGUAUCAGCGAGAAAUAUGUUGUCUAUAACAUUAACAACAAGCGUACCUGAGGUAGAAGUACUCUUACUUCCGCCAUUCUUCAACGAAGCUAGGUACUGCUUGCAGUUUCUCUUCCAGUGACCAAGUUCAUGACAGUAAAAGCACUCUUUGUCUGGAGCAGGUCCAGGUCCAGCUUUAACCUUGGGCGGAGGGUUUGGCUUGGACGUUCCAGCCUUGCCCUUCUUCUUCCAAGAAUUGCCCUUCUUCUUAAAGCUAGGCUUGUUUUGUAUAGCCAUCACAUGGCUGGUACUAGCGCUUUUCUUGAUGUCUACCUCUGCUGUCUUGAGCAUACCACACAGUUCAUUCAAACCCUUCUCCGUCCCAUGCAUAUGGUAGUUCGAGAUGAAGUUCCCAUAGCUAGGCGGAAGAGAUGAAAGAAUGAAGUCAGUGGCCAACUCUUUGCCCAUUGGGAAGCCCAGCUUCUCCAAUCGCUGAGUGUAACCAACCAUCUUGAUUACAUGUGGUCCUACUGCUGCGCCUUCUGCUAGCUUGCACUCCGAAAAGGCUUUGGACACAUUGAACCUUUCAGUCCUAGCCUGUGUCUGGAACAUGUCCUUGAGCGCCACGAUCAUAUCGUGUGCCUCAUGAUUUGUUUCGAACUGCAUCUGCAGCUCGGGUUCCAUGCAAGCAAGCAUAAGGCAGCUUACCUCAAGAUUAGCAUCAAAUGCCUUCUUGUAAGCAGCCUUAACGGCAGCAGAUGCAUCAUCAGCAGGUACUGGUGGUAGUGGGGUGUCUAGAACAUCUUCCUUUUUAUCGGCCCUGAGAACAAUUCUCAAGUUACGGAUCCAAUCCGAGUAGUUUGUUCCAUUCAACUUGUCCUUCUCAAGGACCGAACGCAAAGCAAAUGAUGUGGUGGUGUUGCUAGGUGCCAUUUAAUCUACAACAAAAGUAAUGCAAAAUACACUAAGACAAACGUAUCCAUGAUAGAGCAAAUUACAUUAAACUAUUUUAACAGAAUCUACUCCCACUAAAAUCAAUAUCCCUCUAUUGAAACUUAGUGAUUCAGGAUCCACAACUAACAAGUCUACUAGUGAUCUUUAGCACCACCGCUAGCAAACGAGGUAGAUCGGUAAGCAACUUUUGCUAAUCAUAUCACAUAUGACUCCUGUUGUUGGGUGACAUCUCUAUGUCUUGGCGCCCAACCUUUAUGCCCCAAGGUCCUUAACCGUUAAGAUAACCUUUUUAAGCAAACCAACCCUUAUGCGUGUAAGUGUCCGACACAAACCCGUCUAGUCAAGGAAAACUAGUGGCACCCUAAUUUCAUAGACCCACCACUAAUUGUACAAGACAUGGGACGGUGCAAGUUUUAGUUGGGAGGGCAUACUAACUUAAACUUUGUGAGGGAUCGUUGUACUUCUAACAUCACAGCAUGCAGAAAGUAAAACAUAAACAGAAUAGCAUUCACACAGCUGUGACACAGUAUGGCCCGUUUUUAUAUGGUGAUCUCCAUCUCCAUAGAACCUGUUCACCAUGGUGAUCUCCAUCUCCAUGUUCCAUGUGCGCCAUCCUCCUGGUGAUGAGUCCUCCAAGAACUAGAACAUGCUAUUACGCCUAAUAGCUAGUAAAGAAUCUAGUAAUGAAGAUUACAUAGUUGCUUGAAUCAUCACAGAUUGGUACGCAGACCAUUAAAUACAAUAAAGUGACAACACAUAUGGCUCCUGCCGUGUUGCCGUACGCGCGACACGCAGGUCACGAAUGAGUUACACACAUGCAUCACAUACACAAGGGGGCCAUACUGACCACAAGAUACAUACAUACAUCCUGCAAAACAGAGUUAGGCGUCCUAACGUUCCAAACUUCGGAGGCCCGAAACUCCAUCUUCCAAGCCAAAUCUGGGAAAUCUAAUUUCGCCGAAAACGGCAAAGCGGUUGAAUUUCAUGUGUAACUUUUUCUGUAGAUCAAUUUUCAUAUAAAAUUCGCCCCGAUCCGAGAUCGUACCGAAAAGUUACGGCUGAUUUACCGAAGCAUACGCAUACGGCAAAAAUCCCGACCCCGGCAGUAGAUCCCAUCUACUAUUGCACAUCUAAUGCGCCUGGCGUAUGACCCUGGAUUUCGAUUCGACCAAUCAUAUUGAUCUUCACUCACUGCAACUGGAUUUACAUGUAUCACUUAACUCCGAUGGCGGAAACCGACCGGUAGGAGUAUGUCGUUACACUACCAUUGCAGCAAGAGCACGAAACCAGGACAUAGAUCAAACGGAAAACUCGCAUAUCUCCAUAUGCACACAUCCCGAAUCCAAAACUAAGCAGCUACGGCUCUGAUACCACUGUUGGAAUACGGGGUAGGCUACACUAGCGCAAUUCAAAAAAUCUACCGCGUAUAACCAGGAAGAACUGCCGUAUAAGGAUCACGGGAUUACCACUCGACGCACUACUGGUGCGGAAGAUGUAAAUAUGCGUCGAUGCAGUGAAGAUGAUCACGUAGUCGUACGUAGUCGAUCAACGUAGUCGUACGUAGUCGAUCACGUCCAGCAGCUCCUCAGUAGCUCAUCCACGUGCAGCAAGAUCGCCUCCGGUGCCGCGGCUCGUCGUCGGCUCGUCGUGGCUCGUCGGCGGCUCGUCGGCGGCUCGUCCAAGUGCUGCAGGCGCAACACCUCCAAGGUAUCCACACGUGCAGGGAGGAAGCGUCGCAAGCCGGACUGCUAGAUUCGCGAGUUGCAACAGGCGAGGGCGUGGGAGGCGCGGCAGGUGUGUUUCGCCAAAAGGUGUAAACCCUAGGGCGCCCCCACCCCUCUAUUUAUAGAGGUUCCUGACGGGCCUCUUGGUCCGAUGCCCAUUAGUACAUCUAAACCUAAUCCAACUCGGAUCAGAUCCGAAUUGGGCUUCCAGCCCCUUAAGUGUGUGACCCUAUGGGUUCGGAUACGUAUAGACAUGGCCCGAGUACUCCUAUUCGGCCCAAUAGUCGGUAGCGGCCUCUAGCAAGAUGUGCCAACUCCUAUAUGCACACGAAGAUCAUAUCAGACGAACCAUCACAACAUAAUAUACAUGUUAUUCCCUUCGCCUCACGAUAUUUGGUCUAGCUUCAAGCUGACCGCUCUUUCUCGAUCCUGUGAUUCGGAAUCCCUUUGUAGGUUAACUCUUAACCGUACGUAGCAUGGCCAUGCAUUUUCGGAUCCGAUCACUCGAGGGGCCCAGAGAUAUCACUCUCAAUCAGAGAGGGGCAAAUCCCAUCUUGAUUGACCAUGUCUCAUAGCAUGCUUCUUGACAAACCCGAAAGCUACCUUUAUAACUACCCUGUUACGGCGUAGCGUUUGAUAGCCCCUAAGUAGGUCGAUCCACAUCUAGAAUACAUGCGACAAUCUCAGGUCUAAGGACAAAGCGUAUAUGUUGUUUAAAGAGAGAACUACUUCUCGUGUUGGGUCAGUCCUAGCACAUGUCUCCACAUGUGUCCACAUUAUUAGUUCAACAUCUCUAUGUCCAUGACUUGUGAAACAUAGUCAUCAACUAAUACAUGUGCUAGUCUAAUAUUCAUGUGUGUCCUCACAUGAACUCCGACUAGGGACAACUUUAGAAUAACCAUACAAGUAAAGAGUUUCACAUACAAUUCACAUAAUUGCAAAUCAAUUCAAGUAGCCUUUAAUGGAUAUUCAAUGAACAAAAUAUACAAAUCAUGGAUACAAAUGGAAUAUCAUCAUCUCUAUGAUUGCCUCUAGGGCAUACCUCCAACACUAACGGCACGAGGUCAACAAACAAUACCACCGAGUAUGAGGCGUUGCUUCUGGCGCUGAAAAAGAUGAAAGCUCUGGAGCAACAAGCCUUCAUUGUAAAAACGGACUCCAAAGUGAUCAAGGAGCACAUUGAGAAGGAGAGCAAGGCCAAGGAGCCCGAGCUAGUGAAGUAUCUCACAACAGUAAGAUCGAUGGAAAAGCACUUUAGGGGCUUCACUGUCAAGCACAUCCAGAGCUCAGAAAAUGAUGAAGCAGACAAGCUUGCGAAGGCAGCAACACAGAAUGAACCAAUCCCUCCGGAUACCUUUUUCGAAAUCAUUGAGACUCCGUCAACAAAAGAGGUGGUCCCAAAGUCCGUAAACGCGAUUCAGUGCUUCGAUUGGCGGACUGAAAUCAUGGCAUACAUGAGGGGAUACUUCGAGCCGCACGACGAAGUGGAACUCACCCGACUCAAGCAAAAGGCCAGAGGAUAUGCAAUCAUAGAUGGAGAGCUGUACAAAGCUGGAAUUUCGACACCUUGGCUUCGCUGUAUAGAUACCGAGUUUGGCAAAGAGCUACUCGCUGAGAUUCAUAAAGGUUUCUGCGGGUCUCACAUUGGUUCCAGGGCUCUUGUAAGCAAGGCGAUCAGGCAAGGAUUCUAUUGGCCUUUGGCCAUUCGCGACGCUCAUGACCUCGUAUGGGGCUGCGAAGCCUGUCAAAAAAUAGCAAACCAGGGGCAUGCGCCACCCCUCCCAAUCCAGCUGAUACCGCCAUCAUGGCCUUUGCAAAGGUGGGGAAUGUAUCUGGUGGGACCACUUCCAACAGCCCAAGGCAAUUGCAAGUUUGCGGCUGUUGCCAUGGACUAUUUCACAAAGUGGAUCGAAGCCAAGCCUCUAGCUACAAUAACAUCAGCUUCGGUCCAAAAAUUCUAUUGGUAGAAAAUCAUCUACAGGUUCGGAGUACCGAGGGAGUUAACUGUAGAUAAUGGCAAGCAAUUCGACUCCAUCGACUUCAAGGAAUUCUGUGCCAGCCUCGGCACGAAGGUCAAAUUUUCCUCAGUAUACCAUCCACAAUCGAAUGGUGCAGUGGAAAGAGCCAACAGCUUGAUUUUGUCAGCAAUCAAGAAGUGCCUAUUCGAUCAGAAAAGGGAAAAUGGGUCGAUGAGCUACCAAAGGUGAUAUGGUCACAUAAUACUACUGAGUCUCGGGCCACAAGCUUCACACCUUUCAAACUCCUCUUUGGCUUCGAGGCCGUCACACUAGAGGAAAUCAAGAACAACAGCUUAAGGGUAAUCCGAUCCGAAGAUGUUCAAGAUGCUAUCAAGCUUGAGAUCAUCCAAGCUUCGGACAACCUCGACAAGUACCAAAAAGAAACACGAAAAUGGAGGGAUAAGAGGGUACUCCGAAGGGAGAUCAAUGUCGGGGACCUUGUCAUAAAGAGGAAGAAAAAUUGGGAAAAUCUCAGCAAGUUGCAAGCUGCAUGGGAGGGUCCAUACAUCGUCACAAGAAGCAACAGACCAGGCUCCUUUCACCUUGCGGACCAACUUGGCACGGAGCUGCCGCAUUCCUUGAAUGCAGACAGCCUACGAAAGUACUACCCGUCAAAGCUGUUCCUCGCUACCUUUGGCUUGUGAAGUUAUAAACAGCGUCGAAGGUACCGAUCUUACUUUUUAUUAUUUACUUGUUAUCGAGUCUAGACUGUACUCUUUUCCUUGCCCGGAGGGCUCCACACUAGAGGCAAGGUUUUUAAUGAGGCAGAUCCAUGUAAAACCUUCAAUUAUAUAAUACAAGAAGUUUCUCCCACAAGUUGCGUAACCUCGCACUGUUAUGGGGAGGAGAGAAUGAUUUUCCAUGAUUAAGUGCAACAACAAGUUGCGUAACCUCGUGCUGUUAUGCAGAGGAGAGAAUGAUUUUCCAUGGUCAAGUAAAACAAGUUGCGAACCUCGCGCUGUUAUGCGGAGGAGAGAAUGAUUUUCCAUGAUUAAGUGCAACAACAAGUUGCGUAACCUCUCUCUGUUAUGCGGAGUUGUUAUGCGGAGGAGAGAAUGAUUUUCCAUGGUCAAGUGCAACAAGUUGCGUAAGCUCACGAUUCUACACGAAGGAAAGGUUGAUUUUCUGUAACAAUGCAAUGAAAAGUUGCCUAACCUCCUACCUUGCGCUGCCUAGCAUUUCUAAUUACAUAUCAUUAUACAACGCAUUAUACACGCAAAUUAAGUGUUAUGUACUUCUCUCUCCUCAUUCAGACGAAGGAACCUACUCUUCACGAUGACAACAAUUCCUCUCAAGGCAACCCAUCCUUUCCACUUCGACCGCAGCAACCUUUCUUAAAGCCUCGCGUUGUCGGGUCUGCUGUGGCAGAACCACCCAAAUUAACUUGGCUAAAAUGCACUUAAGUCGCCUGACACGCGAUCAUGCACUUUAAGCAAGUCAACUCGGUCGUCCGUCGGAUUUCAUCCGAUAAACCACUUACACAGGAUCGAGAAGCAUUGCUCACUCGAAGAUGAGUAGCACAGAGGUUACAACAUUCCCAUCACAUUAACAUAGUUCAACAUUUAUUACAUCAGAGUUCCGAAAUUGAAACAAGUUUGCAAGGUUCAACCAGACGAAGCAAACAAGCGGAAGCUAAAUGACGAUAUACAAUAUCACGAUGAAGCCGAUCAUGACAUCAAUAAUCCCUGCCCUCGCCGUCCGAGGAGGGAUCCCACUCGACUGUCCAGCCCGGAGGGAGCUGGGUAGGCCAAGUGGUGCCAGCAGCAAAACUAUUAACACCACCUGAAAAGUUGAGCCACAACAAGGCUGAGCAACUAAUACUCUGCAAGACUGACCCGACAGGUGAUAACUACUGCCACCAAAACCUAGACAUGCAAGGCUUUUUGGCUUUGGGUUUGCUUUGCCAAAAGCGUCUAUAGUCGGUCCUUACUUUCAAUAUUUUAGCUCAAGUUCUACGUUCUUUAACCAGUAUAGAUUAGCAACUUAUACUAAGCAAGCAUAAUUUCCAAACAAUUAAAGAACAAGCAUCAUCAUUAUGUUCCAUAUUUACUCAGUGCAGAAUAGCGAUCAAGCAGUCUCAAACUGUGAGAGGCAGACGAAUCGAUUUUAAUUUAUUAACCAUGCAUGGCGAACCUAAUCUCACGACAUACACGCACUACGAAGGGUUGCUUCAUUUGUCAGCUGUCCCCAUCGAUCCCCAGGCACAUGUCAGGGCCAAACUUCCCUUGGCAUGCAAUGCUCCACAGUCUUGGCCUCUUGCUGCACUGUGACUGCACUUGCACCCACAUGAUGCACCAUGGGAACCUCGUUCCAGGGACAGCAGGAGUAUAAGCCAUGCCCCAGUUCAAUCAGGUACUAGGCUUCCUUAUCCCAUACUAGGUAUGAGAUUAGUACUUUCAAACACUUGAUCACGAACGCCGACACGUUUCAACCUUAGUCCAUUUUCAUUUAGAAAGAUGGGGCAAUCCACCGACCACCAAAACAGUUCACAAGGCCCUGCCCCGCCCAUCGUCCUUAUGGUUAUAACAUAAGUAAACAAACAACUCCUAUAACUCGCGAGUGACAGGAAAUCACUAGACUUUUACUGUGCCCUAUUAAGCAUUGCAUCUACGCGACUUAUCAUGCUAGCGUUCAGAUCAGAAGGGUGCUAAGUUCAUGCAUCUAAGGUGUCAUUCAACUCCUAUAAACGUAAAUGCACAAUCAUCAGCAUCAUCAUAUUGCAUAGUUUAAAAAUAGGGAAGCAUGCAUUGGGGCUUGCCUUCAGGAAAGAUUAGCGGUUCCUUGGGGUCAUGAUCUAGCUCGGGCUCACCCUCCAAGUGAUGAAGUUCCGCAGCAGGUCUUCCACCGGUGUAGGGUGGAGCUCGUAGGUUCCGUCGGCGAGAUUAGCUUCUACACGACAUGCACAUGCAGGAGUUUAGUUUCAACCAGACGCGAACAAGAACGAUGCACGGCUGGGAUUACGGUAGAAAGGAAGUUGCCUAUAGGUCACAUUCACCACAGAGUUGGAUUUAUCUAUUUAGCAGUUUUCUUUUAUUUACUAUGAUUUAAAAGGCCUAAACAAGGGAUAAAACCAUAAGAUAUUAUUUACAAUAGUAACAUGAGCAAACUUAUUUUUGUAAGAAACUAGACAGAACAAGGAUUCCAACAAAAGUGAUUUGGUAUUUUUCUGAUUUUUCCUCAAUUUAAGAUGUAACUUCCAAUUUCCUGUCGAUUCAAAAUGAGUUAAAAGUGUCGGGUUGGGGAAAACUUACAAUCUGACCCUUAGACUUAAGGAAUAACUGUACCAGGAUCCUCAAAUUUAACACAGAGAAGUCCUCGGAAUUUACAUAGAUACCCUCAGUCAAAAGGAAAAAAAAGACACAAUUGAGCCCUCGGGCGAGGCGGACAACACUCGGGCGAGGCGGACAGGGGUCGCCAGCUCACCUCCGGUCCUACGAACAAGGUCUUGGGGUCGGGAAGAAACAAGCCGAAGUGAAACGGCGGAAGGCGGUAAGCUUCAGGCGGCGGUGAGGUUCGGCGGUCCUCCGGCGGCGGUAGUGCUUCUCGUGGACAACAAGCAAGCUCUAGAGCUGUGCAAGAGGAUGGUGAAGCGGUUUGUGGUGUUGGCCAAGCGCGGGGUCGGGCAGAAAGGGGAGCUCCACCGAGAGCUUAGGCGACAGCGAGUGUGGUGGAGAAGAAUAGAGCAAGUACUGUGGCAAAGGCGGUGAUGGCGAAGGAGACUCCGGUAAGAGGCUUUGGUACCUUUUUAUAGAUGCGCGGAAGUGUUCGGAGGAAGGAAACGAGCUUGAGCAGGCGAGAGGAUAAGAUCGAGAGAGAAGGAAGUGCUCUGUCGUGGCAGCGAUUGGUCGGCGCCUCCAUUGGCCGGAGAAGCGAAGCUCCAGGGAUAGGAUCCCCUGGGCAUUGGGCAAGGGAGAUGGUGUUGGGAUACGAGGUAGGCUACACUAGUGCAAAUCAAAAAAUUCUACCGCGUAAACCAGGAAAAUUACUGUAUAAGGAUCACGGGAUUACCACUCAACGCACUACUAGUGCGGAAGAUGUAGAUUCGCAUCGAUGCAGCGAAGUCGAUCAACGUAGUCGUACGUAGUCGAUCACGUCGACGUCCAGCAGCUCCUCAGCAGCUCGUCCACGUGCAGCAAGAUCGCCCUCGUGCCGCGGCUCGUCAUCGGCUCGUCGGCGGCUCGUCCAAGUGCUGCAAGCGCAACACCUCCAAGGUAUCCACACGUGCAGGGAGGAAGCGUCGCAAGCCGGACUGCUAGAUCCGUGAGUUGCAACAGGCGAGGGCGUGGGAGGUGCGGCAGAUGUGUUUCGCCAAAAGGUGUAAACCCUAGGGCACCCCCACAUUUCUAUUUAUAGAGGUUCCUAACACGCCUUUGGGUCCGAGGCCCAUUAGUACUUCUAAACCUAAUCCAACUCGGAUCACAUCCGAAUUGGGCUUGCAGCCCCUUAAGUGUGUGACCCUAUGGGUUCGGAUACAUAUAGACAUGGCCCGAGUACUCCUACUCGGCCCAAUAGUCGGUAGCGGCCUCUAGCAAGACGUGCCAACUCCUAUAUGCACACGAAGAUCAUAUCAGACGAACCAUCACAACAUUAUAUACAUGCUAUUCCCUUUGCCUCACGAUAUUUGGUCUAGCUUCAAGUCGACCGCUCUUUCUCGAUCCUGUGUUUCGGAAUCCCUUUGUAGGUUAACUCUUAACCGUACGUAUCAUGGCCAUGCAUUUUCGGAUCCGAUCACUCGAGGGGCCCAGAGAUAUCACUCUCAAUCAGAGAGGGGCAAAUCCCAUCUUGAUUGACCAUGUCUCAUAGCAUGCUUCUUGACAAACCCGAAAGCUACCUUUAUAACUAAUCUGUUACGGCGUAGCGUUUGAUAGCCCCUAAGUAGGUCGAUCCACAUCUUGAAUACAUGCGACAAUCUCAGGUCUAAGGACAAAGCGUAUAUGUUGUUUAAAGAGAGAACUACUUCUUGUGUUGGGUCAGUCCUAGCACAUGUCUCCACAUGUGCCCACAUUAUUAGUUCAACAUCUCCAUGUCCAUGACUUGUGAAACAUAGUCAUCAACUAAUACAUGUGCUAGUCUAAUAUUCAUGUGUGUCCUCACAUGAACUCCGACUAGGAACAACUUUAGAAUAACCAUACAAGUAAAGAGUUUCACACACAAUUCACAUAAUUGCAAAUCAAUUCAAGUAGCCUUUAAUGGAUAUUCAAGGAACAUAAUAUAAAUCAUGGAUACAAAUGGAAUAUCAUCAUCUGUAUGAUUGCCUCUAGGGCAUACCUCCAAUAGAUGGCAUCAGGCAAGCGCGGUUUUGCCGGGCGGGAGGAUUGGCGAGGUCGAGCAUGUGUCUGGUCGCGUCAGGCGACAGAUUGGGGGCAGCGGCUCGGCCGGUGUCCGGCGAUGGCGUGGCGUGCGAGAGGAAGGAGGACGCGGGCGUUGGAUGGGCGAGCGGGCGAAGGCGUGGGAUGAUGGCGGCGUGGCGGCUUUUCCGACGAGCGGGCAAAGCUCCAGUUGGCGGGCGUGGAUGCGCGGCAGGGGCAAAGGAUGUGCUCGGCCGGCGAUUGGCGAACACGUUGCUCGCCCCAUCUUGUCGUGGGCGCGGGUUGGGCGUCCAGGCUCCCGUCCUGUCGCUCCCCCGCCAGGGAUAGGGUGCCGGCGAGCUGCCGGUGGACGGCGGCCACGCAGCGGGCGACACGCAAGCGAACAUGCCCGGGCACGCUUGCAUCGAGGCAAGGUCGGGCAGCGCACAUAUCGACUUUGGGGGGGGGGCACUCCUCACGAUUUUCAAACUAAACAUUCGAAAACCCCUUAAGCAAACUUGUAGUACUGUGGUUGUAGUUCAACUUUAUUAAAAGUAUUUGCUCAGAUUUUGAAAGGAUUUGGUGGAACACCUUCGCCAAGAGGCGCACUCUGGACGGUUUCCCAGACUUAGAGCUGGAACGCCCAGAGGGCUGAGUUGACUAUUUACCCAACUUUGACCAGUUUGAGCAGGUUCGGUUACGAUUUGGACCUGGGUCAGCGUAACAAAGUCAGAACACACUCAAGGGACUACAACUUUUAUUAAAGGUCUGACUUGAGGUUAGAUAGGAAUUUGUGAGAUAACAGGUUGCAAAGUUGAAGAAAAUCUUGAAUUCCAGGACUUAGGUUGUUUCUAGGGUUUUAUAACACUCCUGUUUUGAUUCUUGUUUUUGACCUUCUCCCUCUCCGAAUUAGCCAAAGUGUCUUUAACAAAAGUUGUUUGAAAUUAAAAGUUUUACAACUCUUAUUUGGGCAAAAGAUUUAAGUUUGUAUAUAAAAACUCAAGUUUUAAAUUUAACUCCAAAACAAGCUUGUUAGGGUCAAAAAGGACAUUUUACCUCUUUUGCUUAGCGACUAACAACUUGUUUAGGUUUAAGUACACCUAAUUAAGGUAGAGUUGUUACAACCUACCCCUCUUAAGGGAAUCUCGUCCCGAGAUUCAAGUGCAGAAAGGAACUAGGGUGGCUGGUGCAACGUACCUCCCUGAUCGAAAAGAAAACCGCGGAAGUUAGCGUUGAGAUACUCUUCUGUUUCCCUCAUUGCUUCAUCUUCCGUAUGGGUACUCUAUUGAAUUUUGUACAUUUUCACCAUUUGUCUACGAGUAUGCCUUUCUUUUCGGUCGAGGAUCUUCACAGGAUAUUCCUUGUACGAUAAAUCGGGUUCGAUUUCCAAUUCUUCCGGUGCAAGAAUUUUGGUCGGAACUCGAACACACUUCUUGAGUUGCAAAACAUGGAAAACAUCGUGUAUCGCAGCAAUCUUUUCCGAGAGUUUAACUCGGUACGCUACAGGUCCACAAAUUUUCACAAUCUCAUAUGGACCAAUAUAGUAUGGAGCCAACUUUCCUUUCACUCCAAAUCACUGUAUGCCCUUGGUCGAUGAUACUCGAAGGUAUACAAAAUCUCCAACCUCAAAUUGGAUAGGCCUUCUCCUCUGAUCGGAAUAGCUCUUUUGUCAAGACUGGGCGGCCUUAAGAUUUUCUCGGAUAACUCUUACUUUUUCUUCGGCCUCCAUUACCAAGUCGGGUCCAUAUAUCGUCCGCUCUCCUGGUUGUGACCAACUUAACGGGGUUCGGCAUCUACGUCCAUACAAAGCUUCGAAAGGUGCCAUUUUCAAGCUGGCUUGGUAGCUAUUGUUGUAUGAGAAUUCUACUAAUGGCAAACAUUUAUCCCAAUUCUUGUCAUAAUGAAUGACACAAGCGCGUAGCAUAUCUUCCAAUAUCUGGUUGACUCUAUCAGUUUGUCCAUCGGUUUGAGGGUGGUAUGUGGAGCUACGAAUCAGCUUAGUGCCAAGUGAAGACUGCAAUUGUUCCCAAAAGCGUGCUACAAACUGACUACCUCGAUGAGAGAUGAUCGUUUUAGGCACACCAUGCAAGGAAACAAUUCGGUCAAGAUACAACUCUGCAUAUUUCUGUAUAGUGUGGGUAGUGUGUACCGGAAGGAAAUGUGUUGUUUUGGUAAGUCGGUCCACUAUAACCCAUAUGGAAUCAUGCUUGCAAAAGGUAUUGGGUAAUCCGACUAUGAAGUCCAUGCUUAUGUCCUCCCACUUCCACGAGGGAAUAAGUAGUGGUUGCAAGGUGCCAUCUACCUUCAAGUGGCUUGCUUUAACUCGUUGACACGUAUCACAUUCUGAAACAUAUUGUGCAAUAUCUGGUUUCAUCCCACUCCACCAGAAAUUUUGUCGGAGAUUGUGGUAUAUCUUGGUACUACCAGGGUGAAUUGAAAACUUGGAAAGGUGGGCUUCAUCCAUAAUCCGUUUCUUAAGAUCAGGAUCAAUCGGAACAACCAGUCGAGCUUCAUAAUGUACAACUCCCUUCCAAUCCUGUCGGAAGUGCUUAUAUCCCUUAUCUUUCUGUGCGAGCUUCUUCUUGAUAAGUUUUAUCUCUUUAUCCUCCAAUUGUGCUAAAACAAUCUGGUCAUCCAGGGUAGGCUCAAGAGAAAUAUGACUUAAGGUGCCAUGGGGAACAAUUUCCAAUUUAAGUUUAGCCAUCUCAUGACAUAAGGUCUCAGCAUAGUUGGUCGCAGACAAGCAGUUACAGUGGCUUUUGCGGCUGAGAGCAUCUGCAACUACAUUGGCUUUGCCUAGGUGAUAGUGCACUUCCAAGUCAUAGUCCUUGAUCAAUUCUAACCAUCUUCUCUGACGCAUGUUGAGGUCUGCUUGAGUGAAGAUAUACUUGAGACUCUUGUGAUCUGUAUAGAUAUUGCAAUGAGUCCCCAUAAGAUAAUGUCUCCACAUUUUCUGAGCGUGAACGACUACGGCUAAUUCAAGAUCGUGGGUAGGAUAAUUUAGCUCAUGUGGCCGUAGCGCUCGUGAGGCAUAGGCAAUGACUUGAUUGUCUUGCAUAAGAACACACCCAAGUCCAGUGCUAGAGGCAUCGCAAUAAACAUCGAACGGCCUAGUAGUGUCUGGAUGAGCUAAAACCGGCGCAGAAGUCAGCAAUUGUCUCAAGGUGUGGAAAGCUUCUUCACAUUUGUCGCUCCACACAAACUUAACUCCUUUCUUCAGUAGUUCAGUCAUUGGCUUAGCUAUUUUUGAGAAGUCGGAGAUGAAUCAACAGUAGUAGCCUGCUAAACUGAGAAAACUUCAAAUUUGAUGAACUGAAGUGGGCGGCUUCCAAUCCAUUACUUCUUGAACUUUGAUUGGGUCUACUGCUAUGGCAUCGCUGGAUAUAGUGUGCCCCAAGAAUUUAACACUAUCCAGCCAGAAGUCACACUUGGAGAACUUGGCAUAGAGUUGGUGAUCUCUUAAGCGUUGGAGCACAGUAUGAAGAUGCUCUGCAUGUUCUUCCUCAUUCUUCGAGUACACCAAGAUAUCUUCGAUGAAUACCAUGAUGAAUUUUUCAAGUUCGGGUAUGAACACCAAAUUCAUGAGAUACAUGAAAUAAGCCAGCGCAUUAGUAAGCCCAAAUGACAUGAGUAGGUACUCAUAGAGUCCAUACUGUGUAGAGAAGGCAGUUUUUGGAACAUCACAUGGUUGGAUCUUGAUUUGGUGGUAGCCGGAACGGAGAUCAAUCUUGGAAAACAUUCUAGCUCCAGCUAGCUGAUCGAACAGAACAUCAAUGAGGGGUAGUGGGUACUUAUUCUUUAUCGUCACCGCAUUGAGAGGUCGGUAGUCCACACACAUAUGGAGACUCUUGUGCUUCUUUUUCACAAACAAGGCUGGACAACCCCAAGGUGAUGUACUUGGACGAAUAAAACCUUUUUCCAACAACUCACGCAACUGAGUUUUCAUUUCUGCUAACUCUGCGGGUGGCAUCCGGUACGGUCUCUUUGAAACUGGUGCAGUGCCUGGUUGCAACUCAAUAGCAAACUUGAUAUCCCUAUCUGGCAGCAUACCCGGAAAAUCAUCUGGAAACACACUUAGCACUGGUUCUAGUCCCAAUGAAACUAUGGGAUGCUCCCAAAUCAAACAGAAUAAGGACGGGUUGGUUAUAGAUAGAAAAGGUACCCGUCAUCACUGGUGUGCCUUUCGGAAGUUCGGCAAGGGUGGUGAAGUUCAGCCUGCCUUGUCGGACCUGAACCCAAGGCUUCUUCCUCUUGUGGUCCAGUGCAUUGCUCUGACCGAGCCGUUGAUUCUUGUUGCGGGGGUAGUCCUUGGCAAAAUGCCCCGUAUUCCCGCAGGUGAAACAGCGGUUUCCAGUAGUAGGGCGCGUCGGCAUUGGAAGAGCAGAUCGGGGCCCUUGUGGCUGGAAUCCAUGGAAACGAGGUGCUGCCUGCGGUGGGGGUCGAGCAACCCAUCUCCCAGGCUGUGCGGGCCUGCGAGGCGCCUGUGGGGGAACCAUCCUGUAUCUCUGUGCAGGUGGGCUGGGUGCUAGCAUUGGAGCCUUCUGCUUCAGGUCGGCCUUGAGGGUCUUCAUGCAAUCUUCCUGGGAAAUUGCCAAGUUCACCAAUUCAUUGAAGGAAUCCACCUUGAUGGGAUUCAGCCUUUCCUUGAGCUCUAGACUCAAGCCUCUGCGGAAGUGGUCCCUCUUCUUCUUAUCAGAAUCCGCAUGAUAGCCUGCGUAGCGACACAGGUCAUUGAAAGCCUGCACAUAUUGCAGGACGUCGUGGCCUCCCUGGGUGAGAGCCAGGAAUUCAUUGAGCUUACGCUCCAGGAGACCCUUAGGGAUAUGAUGGCCCUUGAAUGCCGUCUUGAACUCCUCCCAGCUGAUGACGUGGUUAGCCGGCUGCAUGGCGUGGUAGUGAUCCUACCAUAGGAGGGCAGAACCACGCAGUUGCUGUGCGGCGAAUCGAGCCUUGUUCUCAUCCGGGCAAUGGGCGGUGAGGAGGGAGAACUUGGAUUCGAUGGCAUGAAUCCAGGCGUCGGCAUCAAGUGGGUCCUCCGUCUUGUGGAACAGAGGAGGCUAUGUUCCCAGAAAGUCCUCAUAACGAGCAACAUGAGGUUGCUGAUGAGCUCUUCCUCCUUGGAGCUGCUGCUGCUGCCCCUGGGCAAUGUGUCUCAGCAGCUCAGUUUGAGCGGCCAAGAUCGCCUCUAGAGUGGGUGGAGGUGGUGGAGGCACCUGUCUCUGCUCGCUGCCACUGGGAAUAGAGCCGGAACGGGUGCGGUGCGCCAUCUGCAAGAGUCAUCUUUCCAUUAGUCACAUAAUCCCAAAAGCUUUCCAAUCAUAAGGGAAAUUAUGUACUGAAUCUUUAAAUGCUAAUCUUGCCGAUAGUGCAAACACAACAAUCAUAUCUUUUAUUGAGUAGGUGCAUAUCUCUCCUUUGAAGUAUGCAAGGUUCUCAUCCUUAUUCGAGAGUUAGGACUCGUCGUAUCCACUUCAUGUUAUGCUUGUUGACCGAAAAGGAAGGAAAGGAGGGGGGGGGGGCGGGGUUGGUUUAGCCAAUUUAGCAUGCUGCUGUUUUGGGCUGAUUUUCAGCAAGCUGAGCUGCGGUGUUUUGGUUCUAACGUGAGUUUGACAGAUCCAAAGGAGCUGAAAUUUUACGAGCAGUUAUAACACAUGUUUCGGCACAUCUUUGGUAGUCAAACCUCAGAUCAAAAAUGAGUGGAGAUAGGGGUAAAACUGAGGAGAAACAGCUACUGAAAUUCUGCCAUAUUUUUCCGACAUUACAACUAACCGGUAGCAACAGCAAAUCCGUACAUGAAAUCAGUUUUUCAACACUCGGAUACUUAUCUCAAGCUGACCUAUUACAUGACUGGCCAAAAAUAUAGGUCGCUGAGGAGUAAAACAAAAGAAACUGCUCACAACAAGUCGAUACAUCUAAAAGUCGUCAAGGUUGCCUACGGAGGCAAAGCUAAGUGCAGGAGAGUGUGUGUCGCCAACUUGAGGCUGCGGAGCAGUCUCCUCAAACUCCACACUCGAAAAUCCCUCGAUCUCCUCGGGCUGCUCCUCCUCCUGAGCCAUAGGCUCAUCCAGCUGCACCUCUAAGGCGUGGAUAGCAUUGAGCUCAACGUGGUGCUCCUCUAGGUGCUCAUUGGCGUUCGCUAGCUCCAUGUUCACGUCAUAGAAAUGGUCAGCCAACACCUCCAUGUCGUGCUCCAUCUCUACUAUCUCCUCCUCUAAAUCAGAAAUCCGGUUCUACAUAUCUGCUAUCUGAACAUCCUUCUGUACCAACUCAAGAGACAAGGCCACCAUGCCAUUCUGCACGAUGGUGAGGGCAACCUGGUUGGCCACGGCCAUCCCAAUCACAGUGGUCAUCGCCCUGCUCUGCAUCUCAAUCAUCCGAUAGAACGCAUUCAUGCAACGGGCUGAAACGAAGAUCGUACGCUGUGGGUCCAUAACACCCAGCAAGUCCAUGUGCUCCAUGCGGUCCAACCAAUCCGGAUCUCUCCUAUAACUGGCAGGGAAUAACCCAAUCGGGUCUAACACAAUCUCUAGGGUGUGUGCCCUGCAAAACUAUGUUAGUGCCUGUAAAGCUGCAAACUCCCACGUGUCCUGCAAGGUGUGUCCCUCAGCCACCACCUCCAAUAGUGGCCACUGGGGCUGGUCCGGGGGUGGGGGCACCUUCACGUGCACGCAACUCCGAGGAAUCUUGUGGUCCUAGUACGCAUGUCCCACGUAAACAGGCGGUGACGGGUACCCAAACGAGCGCAAAGUGUCCCACAGUAUGGCUGAAAAACCCUCGUAGUGGAGGCACCUUGAGUGGGUGGUGCCAUCCACACCAAUCGCAACGUACACCGGGUGAGCCAUCUGUAACAAAAGGACAAGUGAGGAAUGGAAUCAACACUUGGAAAUCAAAACAUAAUUCUGACCGUUAGAGAAAAACUCAUAACUCAGCAAGCAUUUAUCCAACAUUCCUUAGACUUUACCAGCAUGUUCUUUAGGUAGUGUGCAACAAGUUUGGUAUUCAAAGGUAGAGCUAAAACAGAACCUAAUAGGGUGAUAAGCUCAGAUUUCUAUUAGGUGGUACAUGCUGGAUUUUUUUCAAACCGAGCUGAAGGAAACUGAGCAUCACUUCAAAACUAGAGUCCUAAUGAAGCUGAAACUUUACCACAAAGUUCUUUACUAAGCUCUGAGCAACUUAGAUUAAAGAACUCAUGGCAGAAAAAGUUGUUAGGGGGGGUGUUGAAACAGUAACACUCCAACUGGUGUACACUCAGUGUUAUCAGCCAAACAGGGGGUUACAAAGCUGAUCCUAACUUCCAACCUAGGUGGUAGCAUUUUAUGAAAAUUUGACAGCAAGUUAUUUAGGACUUUUAACACAACUUUCUUAUAUAAAGUUUCCGGAGUUAUCACUUGAAACAACCUGAAAGAUUUUUAUCAAGACUUGCAGGGCGGAAAAAGGACAGCUAGAAAAUCCUUAUCGCAUUGCAUUGCUUUUAUGACAUACAUGAGCUCAGGUUUAUUUCCUUAGGUUGUAAUUUUUAUUUUCCAAUGCAUGCACGUCCUAGUCAUCCUCACAACCAAAACAAUCGCCCAAAAGCUUUGGACUUACGUAGUUAGUGCCGGUGGCAAGGAAACCAUAUGACUCUCACUAUAAUAACUAGUCGAGUUGCUAAGCAUCGUUUCGUACGUAAACGUGAUUAGUGUACCUGCAGAAAAACACAUCACAUCUUGAACCUUCCAUGCCAGCACUCACGAAAGCAUCCACAAUCAUUACCGUUCACUAUAGAAACGACACCUAUGCAUUUAACGCUGCAUGGACAGUGCAACAACCGUGGAAAUAGGUUCCCUUGAAUAGAACCAUAUAACCCUUUGCAUUCUCGUGAUGCGGAAUCUUGCACACGUAUAAUAGACGUGGGCGAACAACCGUGAUGAUAGGCUCGUUGGAAUCGAACCAUACCAUCCUUCACAUGAGUUAACAUACGGAACCUGCGCAUGUAUAAUAGACAUGGGUGAAAACAACCGUGAUGAUAGGCUCGUUGGAAUCGAAUUCCUAUCACCCUUCGCAUACUCGCGAUGCGUAACUCCGCACACGUAUGAUAAACGUGGUGAAAAGUACUGGAAGUCAGUAAAUAACCAAUAGUUACUAGCCACCUUAAAUAACCCCAAAGUUCCCCUAGGGCUUCUCGUACUAAACUCAUCCUUAACGAGCUUACGAAAUUUUCAACUAGUUUCUUGCAAUUUUUAUUCAGAAAAGGUGGUGUUGACGCCAGAUUUUGACACGUAUGGAAUCGGCGUCAAGAAAGGGAAGGAUUAGCCGAGACGGCGAGAUGAAAAUGUCACGAUUAGGAAUCAGCCGUUGAUGCUAUAGUUGGAGAUCGGCCAAUUGGCGCUGCAGUGUUUUGGCGAAUGGAGUUGGUAGAGAUCAGCCGAUUAAGAGGCUGGAGCAAUUGGGCCAGUAUGGGCUUAAAGUGGAUCACGAAGAUAAAGGGGGAUUGGCCCACAAGAGCGCGGCGACCAAUUCCGAUACAAGUUAUGCUUGUAAAUAUUCGUUUUCGUUUAAAAAUAGAGAUAGAGUCCUAGUCGGUUAAGAGAUUGGUUGUAAUAGGCUAUAAAUAGCCGUCCUUAGAGAUCUGUAAAAUCAUCAUCAAAUCAAUACAACAAUCUACUAUUUCCUCGCACUUUACAUUCAAGUUGGCGACUUCGUCAGUACUUUUCUUCUUUUCACGAGUUCGUACGGGUUGGCGGGGCUGUAUCAACUUGAUCUCCGGCCGAUUCUGUAAGUUCCGUUUAUCGAGUAAUAUCUAAGAUUUAACUACAGGCGCAUCGCUGUCGUUUCGUUUAGAUUUAUUAAUCAGUUAUCGAUAUUUACUAGAAUUCUAGGUUUUACCUACUGUUCCAGUUUUAUCACCAGUUAUCCAGCUUGGAAUUAGAACUUUCGACUUACUUAUAUUUAUCGCUUAUCCGCCGCUUUUGCAUAGCCGAUUAGAUCUGUUUCAAGUAUUGCUAUUGUAGCGUUCUUUAGUUUACUGUGGUAGUUUUCUUCACAAACGUUACCUAGUAGUCGGCUGCGCUAUAGCCGAUUUUCUUAUCAUAGCAAAUCGCCCGAUUCACUGAUAAGCUUCCUCGAGAUCGGAACCUUAGCCGAUCGCAACCUCUGGGAUCUGACAUGUUUCUUUCCUUGCCAAUCAACAGGUCAGAUUGGCUGGCACGCCGCGCGAACCGCACCAGGGUGAUCACCCGAACAGGAGUUAAGCAGAUUCUCCCGGGUCGUGUGUCCGAUGUUGAGAUUCAAUCGGCUGAUCUUUAGCGCCAACACACUUUUGGCACGCCCGGUGGGACGAGUACAACCACUACCAUGUCGAAAGCUGCCGAAAUCUCCGAAGACAACAUCAUCGAAGUGACGGAAGCAGACCUUAAGGACGAUGAGAAGGAGGAGUUGGAGAAGCAAAUAGCACAGUAUCGGAAGACAUGCCUGCAAUCCUUCAGUCGUACCAGGAGCGGGGAAACUGUCAAGAAAGCUCCUUUUCCAACUCCCUGCCAGAUUACAAUCGCCGAGGACUCGGGCAAGAUGUCCGAGAUGGUUCAACAGUCUGUCUACGAGGCUUUCAUCGAUCAAUCCCCGGUGAUAACCAAUACAGUAUACAAUGCCGUCAUCAGCUCCUUGGCCAAUGGCGUGUCUCAAGGAUACCAAGGGCCAGCGUACGCUCCACCUAUCACUGCCCCGGUCAGGAGUUUUCCAAGCAUACCCUACUCGGCUCCUCAGCCGAUCCAAGCUCAGCCUGGAGGUUCCAGCGCUCCUUCGCCGUCAAUGCAUCUGGGGCAUAACGGCGCACCAUACCUCCAGUCACAUGCAGCACCUCAAUCCAUUCAGAUGUCCUCCGCGCAAUCAUCUUCACUAAAUUUAGUGCCUUAGGGGGCACCAUCGGCGACGGCCAUCCAAGAUCAAUCGGCCGGUUUUGGAGGCUCUCCGACCCAGGCACCCUUCCAAUCGGCCGUGCGGCCGACAGGUCCACAGUACCAACCAGCCACGUCGGAGAUGGGCAGGGGGGUAGAGACUGCAGAAGCAUUUCAGGGUGCUGCGCCGAUUAUAUUAUAUGAUGAAAUGACCGGUUCGCUGAGACACCAGAUGCCAACUACACAACUGGCCACAUCACCACAGAACCCGCCGCACGCCUUCGUCCAUCACCCGGUCGUCCCUCCGCCGAUCUACCAACACGUGCCGGCUCCCCAGCCAGUAGUUCAUCAACAACAAGCAGACUGGACGGCACGGAUAGCAGAAGUAAUUCAGGAUCAAUUCGGUUUAAAGCCGAAGGUACAAACUUACACAUACAGAACGCCGUACCCACCUACCUACGACCUACUGCCGUUUCCCCAUCGGUACAAAGUUCCCGAUUUCACCAAGUUUUCGGGGCUUGACGAUACCUCAACUGUGGAGCACGUGAAUAGAUUCAUCAUCCAAUGUGGGGAGGCGGCUACACAGGAUGCUCUAUGGGUGCGUCUAUUCUCAUCAUCUCUGUCCGGGUCGGCCUUCCAAUGGUUCACCACGCUACCACCAACUCCAUAGUCACCUGGGCCGACUUGGAAAAGUAGUUCCACAAAUACUUCUACGCGGGAGUGCAUGAGAUGAAACUCUCAGAUCUGACUAGCCUCCGGCAAAGGAGUGACGAGCCGGUGUCCACAUACGUGCAGAGAUUCAGGGAAGUCAGAAACAAAUGCUACACCCUAGUCCUGACCGAUGCACAGCUGGCCAAUAUAGCUUUCCAAGGUCUCCUGCCUCACAUCAAAGAAAAGUAUGCUUCACAGGAGUUCGAGAGCUUGAGUAAAAUCGUACAUCGACUGUCUGGUCAGGAGGUACGCCCCUUUGAUCGACGGAGGAAUUUUCAGAAGAAGGUGGCAUACUUAGAAGGAUCUGAGUCCGAAGAAGAGGCAGAAAUCAGCCUAGCAGAGUGGGUUAAACGAAAAAAGCUGAUAUCGUGUCCUUUCGGGAAAAAGGAACCAGAGGCAUUCGGUUUCGAUACGUUAAAGGCCGAUAAAAUUUUCGAUCUACUCCUCCAAGAGGGACAAAUAGAGCUCUCGCCCUACCAUACGAUCCCAUCGGCCGAGCAACUAAAGAAGAUGAAGUAUUGCAAAUGGCAUAAUGCCACCUCCCAUAACACGAACGAGUGCAAAAUCUUCCGACAGCAAAUACAAUCGGCCAUUGAAUAAGGCAGGCUUAAGAGGUCCCGAUGAAGCCAACAAAGCCGAUAAAGAUCGAUCAGCAUCCUUUCACCACCAACAUGGUUGAUAUGGGAAGAAACGCACUCCAGACCAAGGUACUGACAUCAAAAUCGGCUAAAAAGAGCGGCGUCGUAGACCCCAGGAAUCAAGCUGCGCCUGAAGAUGUCAAAGGGAAGAGACGGAUGGAUGAUGAAGGCGAAGGAUCGGGAGAGCCACGUAGGCCCAUCACUUCCCAAUUUUUGCUCAACAAGUAUCAGCGGCAACAAGAAAGUUCAAGGUUUCGUGAAGAGAUGAUGCAACAACAUGAGGAUCACUGGCGAUGCCCGUUCUUCAUCCACUGCUAGGAAAAUAACCUUAGGUUGCCAUCGGCCAACAAUUGCCCAGAAUGCAACGGCCCGUAUCGCAACAAUCGCCCAUUCAGAAGGUCUCGCUCCAUAGAUGGAAGGCCAGAGCCAAUCAGCAGAAACUAGCACGAGCAAGAAGAUCGGCGCCUUUCAGUGCAUGAUCGGCUGGGGGGCAGAAGUGACCGAUAUGAUCGGCCAGAAGACAAGUGCGAACGAUACGAUAGGCCGGGGGGCAGAAUUGAUCGGCACGACCGACCAGAGGGCAGAGUCAGCGCACACGAUCGGCUGGAAGAGAUGGCCGAUGCUCGCGUAUAAGACGAAAAUCCCUUGGGACGGGAACCAGAAUGGGAGCGCGCCAAACCGCCGGCUAAACCAGUAAACCCCAGGUGGUGCCCUGAUGGAUUGACCAAAUCCCAAAAACGAAGAAUCCAGUGUCUCCGCCAAUGGGAGCAACAGGAAGAAGAGCAACAACAGAUGAUAGACAAGGAGAGCGACAGGCCUCGGGUUUGGUGCCCCAAAAGAAACGACAGGGAAGGCGACGGCAACCAGGAAUCGGCAGCCGAUGUCAAUAUGGUUUUCAUUCUGCCAAUGGAAUUCAUGACUCCCGCUGAUCGACAUAACAUGUCGAAGAUAGAAGAACAGAUGGCGCAAUUGGCCUUGGAGCCAAUGACAGCCACGUUCGAGAAACCCAAAGAUGAAAAAUGGUAGCACCUCAACAGCCGACCUGUCACCAGGCUACUAGUGGAUGGAGGCACUGCAGUCAACAUCAUGCCGUACGCCAUGUUCCGGAAGUUGGGAAAAAGCGGCGAUGAUUUGACCAAGACGGAUAUGAUGCUCAAAGACUUCGAAGGCAACGUGUCUCCCGCCCGCGGCGCGCUCUGCGUCGACCUCACCAUCGGCAGUAAGACUCUCCCCACGACUUUCUUUAUUAUUAAUGGCAAAGGGUCCUACAACAUGUUACUCGGUCGAGACUGGAUACAUGCAAAUUGCUGCGUCCCGUCUACAAUGCAUUAAUGCCUCGUACAAUGGGUCGGCGACAACAUCAAAAUAGUCACCGCCGAUUCCGCGCACAGCGUCGCGGCGGUCGAUGCAUAGCAAUGGAGCUGCGAACACGUCAAGUGCAUAUCCGGGAGGACUUGGGACACCGAUUUUCUGAAGGUGUCCGAUUUUGGCCUACAGCCGAUCCGAGCAGUCGGCUCUGAAGAUUCAGAUUAAAUGGAUCAGUUCGUCCGGGAAGACGGGAAGCUGGGGCACGGAUUUACGUCGGCCGAUUCAUUAGAGAUGAUAGAUUUAGGUGAUGGCACCAAGCCAAGGCCGACGUACAUUAGUGCUAAUUUGGAUUCGGAAUACAAAUGUAAAUUGACAAAUUAAUUGAAAGAGUUUAAAGAUUGCUUUGCUUGGGAAUAUCAUGAGAUGCCUGGAUUAGACUGGUCCAUUGUUGAGCACCGGCUUCCCAUAAAGCCGGGAUAUCGGCCAUAUCAACAACCCGCACGGCGAUGUAAUCCUAAAAUUCUACCCGAUAUAAAGGUCGAGAUCACAAGGCUGAUUGAAGCAAAAUUUAUCCGACAAUGCCAUUAUGCCGAGUGGAUCUCCAACAUUGUGCCCGUAUACAAGAAAAACGGGAAGCUGCGUGUGUGCAUCGACUUCAGGAACCUUAAUCAGGCUACACCGAUGGACGGAUACCCAAUGCCAACAGCCGACGUGUUGAUAGACGCCGCCACAAGUCACAAAGUCAUUAGUUUUAUGGACGGAAACGCCGGAUACAAUCAAAUACUAAUGGCCGAAGAAGACAUUUCGGAAACGGCUUUCAGGUGCCCAAGCCACCUCAGUUUGUUCGAGUGGGUAGUGAUGACUUUUGGGUUGAAGAAUGCCGGCGCUACAUAUCAACGAGCCAUGAAUUACAUAUUUCACAAACUCAUCGGUGUACUGGUAGAGAUUUACAUCGACGACGUUGUGGUCAAGUCAAAAGGACACCAGGAACAUCUGGCCGAUUUACGGCAGGUAUUGGAAUGCACGAGAAAGCAUGGGCUGAAAAUGAACCCGAACAAAUGCACUUUCGGCGUAUCCGCCGGGCAGUUCUUGGGAUUCAUGGUUCAUGAGCGUGGGAUAGAGAUCAACCGGAAAACCAUAGCGGCUAUCAAUAAAGUUGUGGCCCCGCAAAAUAAAACCGAGUUGCAGUCCUUGAUCAGCAAAGUCAAUUUCAUCAGGAGAUUCAUAUCCAACCUGUCCGGACGUAUCCAGGCCUUCACACCGUUAUUGAAAUUGAGACCCGACCAAGAAUUCGUAUGGGGAGAAGAACAACGCGGGGCACUGGAAGACAUCAAACAAUACUUGGCCUCGCCACCCGUGUUGGUCCCACCACAAACUGAUAAGCCAUUCAAGCUAUACUUAUCGGCCGAUGAGCGAGCUAUCGGGUCGGCGCUAGUCCAGGAGUUUGAAGGAAAGGAACGGGUGAUAUAUUAUGUUAGCAGAAGACUUCUGGACGCCGAAACAAGAUACCCCCCGGUAGAGCGACUAUGCGUGUGUCUUUACUUCUCAUGCACCAAACUCAGACACUACUUGUUAUCGGCGGAGUGCGUAGUCGUAUGCAAAGACGACGUGGUAAAAUACAUGCUGUCAUUGCCGAUUCUGAAGGGGCGGAUCGGAAAGUGGAUUCUGGCUCUAUCGGAGUUUGAUCUAAGAUACGAGUCGGCAAAAGCCAUCAAAGGUCAAGUCAUGGCUGAUUUCGUCACCCAGCACUGCGGACCAGAAGUCGCUGUCGUGGAGCCAGUUCCGUGGACCCUAUAUUUUGAUGGCUCAUCAUGUGGGGCCAGAUCAGGAAUCGGCAUCGUUCUCAUAUCGCCUCGGGGGGCAAGCUAUGAUUUCUCUCUGCCGAUAGAGGCAUCCGCCACUAAUAACCAGGCGGAGUACCGGGCUGUCCUGAAAGGGAUACAAUUGGUGAGAGAGAUUAAGGCCGACGCUGUGGAAAUUUUUGGAGAUUCCAUGCUCAUCGUAGACCAAUUGACAGGGAGAUCCGAGUGCAAAGAUGACAUCUUGAGGAUUUAUUAUGAGGAUUGCCUCCAACUUUUGAAGGAAUUCAAGUCCGCGGUUAUUGAGCAUAUCCCCAGGAAUUAUAAUGAAGAGGCCAACAAGCUUGCCCAGCAUGCAUCCGGGUAUCAGCCGAUUCAGGGCGCCAUUACUCUGGAACUCGCGGCCGACGAUUGGCGAAAAGAGAUUGCUGAUUAUUUAAAGGACCCGUCCAAGAAAGUGGAUCGGCGGGUGCACUUUCAAGCCACGAAGUAUGCAUUACUAGAAGGUGAUUUGUUCUACCGAACGAUUGAUGGUGUUCUACUCAAGUGCCUAGGGACGGAGGAGGCAAAAAUCCUGAUGGGAGAGAUCCACGAAGGUGUGUGCGGAGCUCACCAAUCAGCACAUAAAAUGAAGUGGAUGAUCAGGAAUAAUGGGUAUUAUUGGCCGACAAUCCUUGAGGACUGUUUCAAAUAUUAUAAAGGAUGUCAAGAUUGUCAGAAAUAUGGGAACGUGCAGCGUGCACCCGCAUCGGCCAUGAAUCCAAUCAUCAAGCCAUGGCCAUUCAGAGGUUGGGGAAUAGACCUCAUCGGACAAAUUUAUCCUCCAUCAAGUAAGGGACGCAAAUUCAUUCUAGUAGCCACAGACUAUUUCACCAAAUGGGUGGAAGCGAUUCCAUUAAAGGCUGUAACAUCGGCCGCUAUGGUCGAUUUCUUAAGGGACCAAUUGUCUAUCGCUUUAGCAUCCCUCAGGCUAUCACAACCGAUCAAGGAAUGAUGUUCACAUCAGGAGAAUUCGAGGAAUUCACGGCCGAUAUGGGGAUCAAGCUGCUAAACUCCUCCCCGUAUUAUGCUCAGGCUAACGGCCAGGCCGAAUCUUCCAAUAAAGGGAUAGUUAAGUUGAUCAAAAGGAAGAUCGAGGAACAGCCCAAAAAGUGGCACUUAUGUUUAAUCGAAGCUUUAUGGGCGUACAGGAUGGCUUGCCACGGGGCUACCAAUGUAUCUCCUUAUCAACUAGUGUACGGUCACGAGGCGGUAUUGCCAUAGGAGUUGAGAACGGGCUCAAGACGUACAUCGCUUCAGGAUCAGCUGACGGCCGAUGAUUAUUCCUCGCUCAUGAAAAGGGAGCUCGACGAUCUGGUAGGCCAACGUUUGAGAGCCUUGAUCAGCAUUGAGGAAAACAAAAAGAAAGUAGCCACGUGGUAUGACAAGAAGGUGAAAGUCAAGCAGUUCUCCCAAGGGGAUCUGGUAUGGAAGUUGGUACUGCCGAUUGGAUCUAAAGAUCCCAAAUUCGGUAAAUGGUCUCCCACUUGGGAAGGGCCGUAUAGGAUCGGCCGAUGUGCCCCGGGAAACGCAUACAUUCUGGAGACAAUCGAAGGGGAAGAUUUACUAGGGCCUUGAACGGCAGGUACUUGAAAAGAUAUUACCCCAUUAUAUGGGUCGAUGCAUAAGAAUCAUUAUGGGGCAUUACGAGACAGAGCGAUUAUUUCCUGGAUAAUUAUGUAGCAGAUGCAGAAAAAAGAAUCGCCUAGAAGAGAAAAAUAAUCGUUCAGGUUGGCUGAUUUAUCAUUCGGUAUGGACGAUAAGUUACAUGGCCAACAUAGCACAAGUCGCCCUUAGAACAAAAAAUACUCAACUACGCUUCUUCUCAAUCUGACCUAAUUCCAUCAGAAGACGGGCACUUCGUUCUUCCACAUCUUUCAUUGCAGCCUCCGCCUCAACCUGGCGAGGAAGAGGAUGGCUCCGAUCUAGCACCGGGUGAGAUGUUCCCGCCGUGGCAUUUUCAAGGGCAACCGGAUGAGGGAGUGGGUGGCUCCUGUCGACUCGCGGCCGCCUGUAACAGUUGCCGUUGAUGAAAUCCCAGAUUCGUUGAACAUCGGCAGGAACGUGAUCUCUGAGUUCUUCACGGUGUGCCUUGAUCAGGUCCCUGUCUUCCUGCGACAACGGCUCGUCGGAGUGCAUGAGUUCGAUUGCCCUUUCGAGUUCAAGGCUAAGGCGCAUCGGCUGAAAAGGUUAACAUACAACCGCCUAAAGUUAGGUUGGUUCAAAAGGAUCAAACUGGGAAGGAAAAGCGAGGACGGAUCUCGUACCUAAUUGACGGAAGAAGAGGAGAAAGAAGAAAACGAAGAAGACAUUUCUGUGAGUAUUCCGAUGAAAAAGUAAUCGGAGGAAGAAAGAAUCGAGUGGAGCAAGUACCCUUGAAAACAAUACCAAGGCUGGUAUUUAUAGGAAGAGAAAGGGUGAGGGUUUGGUGAGACGCGUCCCGUUAGAAUAAAGAAGGUAAUAAAUGAAAGAGGCGCCACAAAGGAUGGGUCAAGAUUGAGUUCGGGCAUCAAAUGGUCAAAGGGUAUUAAUGUUCUUACAAAAUGACCAGUACGUUUACAGAUCAUCCCAGAAGAGCAUUAAUAGCUGCAAUCGCUCGUCGCCUGAUUUGAUCGGCCGAGUCUAAAACCCGCUAGUCGUCCUCCGCCGAUCCCGGGACCUCUGGCAUGUGGCGACGAAGUCUGAGGGCCUCGUGGGCCAAAUACUGCCUCUCCUGCUUCAAAUCGGCGAUGAUGGAGGGGAGAUCUUGGAGUUUCUGCUCGGCUAUCUCCUUGACCACCUACUCCAUUUCCUUGGCGAGCUCCGCCCAUCGGCGCUUGAGGCGAUCUAUGGUAUCGACAAUUCCGGAGCGGGAGUUCUCGAGGAAGUGGAUCCGAUGGUGUACUUCUUGGGCCCGGUGUUUGUACGAGUCCUCCUCUUCACGAGUCUUGGCCAGCUUGGCGCGAUCGGCCAUAUGGCGCAGAGCCCUAAACACCGGGAUCCGCAUCGAUUCAAUGUAUGCGGCGGGCGCCAAGGCUUCUUCCGCCUCUUCCGGGACUCGGCCGCUGACGUCACCAAAGAGCUGCCGAAUCGGCGAGGCGUCCUCCACUAAUUGGCCGAUGUCUUCUUGGAGAAGGGUUCGUAUGCUCUCAAGUUUGGCGCGGACAUCAUCGGGGACGGAGCUCAAGGUAACUUGACGAGAGGCGACUUCUUCGUCAUCAGAAAGUGCAACCGCAAAUGAGAAGAGACUAUUGUUGGGAGUGUCUUGUUCCUGUAAAAUAAUAAAUAAAAGGAAAAGUGAGCCGACGAUGAUAAUGAAUUGGCCAAGUUCGGGUAAAUGAAACUUCUUACUUCUUUGAAGCGGAUUUCCUCUAUCUGCGCCUGUGGAAUUGUUACCCUUGGCUCAGGGGCCGGUGCGAUUGGUUCAUCGGAGGAGGAGGAUUCGACGAUUAUCGGCGUCCUGCUUGGGCCGGCCUCUUGAGGAAUUUCUGUAGCAGACGGCUGUUCGGAGAGCACAGUUAGCGUGCCGGUAACCUGCAUCAAAAGUGGUAUGGUCAUUGUUUAAAUGUUAAAGGAUUGAAUUAAGAGACCCUGUACCUCAGUGGGAGGGAGCACUAGUACUUCAGUUUCUGCUUGGGGCGUUGCCGAUUGUUGUGGAUACACCGGGGCGGUUUGUGCGGCCUGAUAUAAGGAAAGGUCAGUAUUGAAGUAACGACUGGGAGGAAUUAGAUGGUGAGUUUACCUGAAUGGCUUCUACCAACAGCAAUGCGGCGGCCGCUCCAGCUUCUGUAGCAGCUUGGGGGUCAACCUCCUCAAUGACUGGGAGGGUCAACGCAGCCAAAGAUUCCGCCGAUGCAGCCGUGGAUGGAUCGGCCGAUUCCAUGCGGGUGCGCACCCGGCGGCUUGUUUUCUUUAUAAUCUUCUUCUGCACCUACUUCAAUUGGCCAGUGAUGUCGUCAACGGAGGGGGCGUGAUAGCUGAUGAUGGGAAAUUCCGUGUACGGAUAACAGUUCUCUAUCGGCCGACCACUCCGACUGCGUUUUGGGGGGACACGGCUCUCAGACUAAAAGAAAAAUAAGAGUCAGUGGUAUAGAAAGAAAGAAGGAAUUAAAAAUCGACUAAUGAGGGAGCGAUACCUCUACAUUUGGAUCAAUGUUUUUGGGGUCCAGGAUGUUGUAAUAUAUCGCCGCAGAAGCGUAGAAGAGAUGUUGUUUCUAUUCUUCCCACCAUAGCUUGAACUGUUGAACGGCGAACGGGGCCACUACCCAAUCGGUCAGGUCUAUGGUGCUGGAAUCGGGGACCCGAUCGUACAACCGGCUGUAAUCGAGGCCUUUGGUGAGCUCGUCUCGAAAUUGUGCCCGACCGGCGAAGUAUGCAUAAAUCGGCAGUUGGACCAAGCCGAAUUGCCGCGCUGCGACAGAUGGAUUAUAAAACUCAUACGUGGGGGCAUCCUUCCCUGAGAAGAAGUUUGCUGGCAGGAUCCCUGGCUUGAUCAACUCAUCCGUGAGGUCAUCAUCAAAUGUGUUGGUCAUCGAGUCAAAACAAGAGGGGAGUUCGAAGAGUGGUUUCGACCUCUGAUAAGGGAACCAGCUGGUUGCGUCUUCACUAAAGCCAUUGUAGAAACAUCUAAAAUACUCGGCUACCUUGGUGGCAGAGUACGGGCAACCAGAGAAAGCCGACGCUGCUUCACCAAAGGAAGUACACCGGCGCCGUACUGUGGGAUUUUCUGCCGAUUCAAUAUUGGGAAAAGUCAUGUGCUCCACUCGCUGCUGCGAGAUCUUACUCAUGUAUAGGUUGAGCCAUAAGUUGAUAAGCCACCAGGGUCCACCUGGAUUCCCAAUCGGCUCUCCCUUGGAUAACUUGACGCCGACCUGAUGCAGCAUAUGAUAAGCCGAUCCUAGUAGGUGCUUUCCGAGAGGAACAAAAGCUCCUAUCGAUAGAGCCUCGGCCAGAGCCUGUGUGUUAGAAGAUGGACCAGCUGCCCUCCCGCAAAAGAGGUGCUUCUCCAGCCACAUCAUCAGGAAGGCCGCAUGCUCCCUCUCUGCGACUGUCUCGGUCCUCUUGUUGCUCUUGAUAAACCCUUUCCACCCGCUGAUUCCUUUUGUUUCCAGCCGAUGGGACAUUUUGACCAGGUAACGGAAAGGGGUAUCAGGGGAGGAGAUGUUAAGGCCGGUCAACAUUACUACAUCGGCCAGAGUGGGAGUCAUAGGCCCAUGUCCGAAGAGAAACGCGUUGAGGGCGUUGGACCAGAAAUAGGAAGCUGCUAUCACUAAAGGCUCAUUCCUUUCCAUUUGGGACAAGGAUAAGUCGAUACAUUGGCCGAUUUUCCGCUCGUCCCAUUGAACCCUUUUAGAAGCGGCUAUCCUUUGAUACCACUCUUUCCAACUGGGGGUUUCAUUCGACCAUGAUCUGAAGGUGCCGGACCAGUGAUCUUGGUCCAUGGUUGACUGCUUAAAUGGAAUUCUAUGAGUUUCCAAGUUGAUUAGAUCAGUUGGAUCUGGGUUUCCCAUAGGACCGAGGCAGAUAAGGCUGGGGGUUUCGGUAAGACAAAUGGUGAUUCGGUGCCUAACCACCUAAAAAAGGUAAAAAGGGAGGGAAAUAAGAACGGAUCUAAGGUAAAUGCCUUGACAUUAAAAAGUGAAAAGAAAAAGUUUCAGUAAAAACCUCCGGUAUGAAGCUCAUCGUGGUUGGCGGGAUUGCUGGCAGAGCUACGGAUGCCGAAGAUGUCGGUGGGGCCUCUAUCGUCGAUGAAGCUCUCGCUCCUGCCGAUGGAGCUGCCGCCAUUGCCGCUGGAGCCGCCGCUGGUGGAGCCGUCUCUAGGGCCUCGAAUGUCGGUGAAGUUCCUGAAGGCGUCGCCAUUGGGGAGGUGGAAUGGAAUGCAGAUGGAAAAGGUCGCCGGAGGAGGAGAUUGGAAGCUAAGGAGGCGCCGGAGGAAGAAGGAAACCAGUGCGCCAAAGAAGGAAGACGUGGGCUUGUGAAAAAGAAGUGUGGGAUGUGUUGAUAUUUAAGGAUGGUCUGAGAAGGGGUAAAAGCAGGAUUUUUACCGUGCCGUCGAUACGAUUUUUCGGGAGGAGUUGUUGUCAUAGGUGCCCGUUUCGAAAAGAUUGCAAUCAUCAGGCAGAAGACCACAAAACGAAAAGAUAUUUUUAAUGCGUUUGUUUUGGAAGGGAAGUUGAAAAGAAUUUCGAAGUAAAGAUUAUGUUUUACUCUGAAACUGGGGGGCAUGUGUUGAUGCCCGAUUUUGACACGUAUGGAAUCGGCGUCAAGAAAGGGAAGGAUUAGCCGACACGGCGAGAUGAAAAGGUUACGAUUAGGAAUCGGCCGAUUGGUGCUACAGUUGGAGAUCGGCCAAUUGGCGCUACAGUGUUUUGGCGAAUGGAGUUGGUAGAGAUCGGCCAAUUAAGAGGCUGGAGCAAUUGGGCCAGUAUGGGCUUAAAGUGGAUCACGAAGAUAAAGGGGGAUUGGCCCACAAGAGCGCGGCGACCAAUUCCGAUACGAGUUAUGCUUAUAAAAAUAUUCAUUUUCAUUUAAAAAUAGAGAUAGAAUCCUAGUCGGUUAAGAGAUUGGUUGUAAUAGGCUAUAAAUAGCCAUCCUUAGAUACCUGUAAAAUCAUCAUCAAAUCAAUACAACAAUCUACUAUUUCCUCGCACUUUACUUUCAAGUUGGCGACUUCGUCAGUACUUUUCUUCUUUUCACGAGUUCGUACGGGUUGGCGGGGCUGUAUCAACUUGAUCUCCGGCCGAUUCUGUAAGUUCCGUUUAUCGAGUAAUAUCUAAGCUUUAACUUCGGGCGCAUCGCUGUCAUUUCAUUUAGAUUUAUUCAUCAGUUAUCGAUAUUUACUAGAAUUCUAGGUUUUACCUACUUCAUCAGCUUGGAAUUAGAACUUUCGGCUUACUUAUAUUUAUCGCUUAUCCGCCGCUUUUGCAUAGCUGAUUAGAUGUGUUUCAAGUAUUGCUAUUGUAGCGUUCUUUAGUUUACUCUGGUAGUUUUCUUCACAAACGUUACCUAGUAGUCGGCUGCGCUAUAGCCGAUUUUCUUAUCAUAGCAAAUCGGCCGAUUCGCUGAUAAGCUUCCUCGAGAUUGGAACCUUAGCCGAUUGCAACCUCUGGGAUCUGACACGUUUCUUUCCUUGCCAAUCAACAGGUCAGAUUGGCUAGCACGCCGCGCGAACCGCAGCAGGGUGAUCACUCGAACAAGAGUUAAGCAGAUUCUCACGGGUCGUGUGUCCGACGCUGAGAUUCGAUCGGCUGAUCUUUAGCGCCAACAGGUGGUUUUAAGGUCUGUUGUUUUUCAUACCGUGCUGCAAGCUCUGAUGCCAGCUGUGGUGGAACCGCCCAAAUUAACUUGGCUAAAAUGCACUUAAGUUGCCUGACAUGCGAUCAUGCACUUUAAGCAAGUCAACUCGGUCAUCCGUCGGAUUUCAUCCGAUAAACCACUUACACAGGUUCAAGAAGCAUUGCUCACACGAAGGUGAGUAGCAGAGAGGUUACAACAUUCCUAUCACAUUAACAUAGUUCAACAUUUAUUACAUCAGAGUUUCCGAAAUUGAAACAAGUUUGCAAGGUUCAACCAGACGAAGCAAACAAGCGGAAGCUAAACGACGAUAUAGGAUAUCACGAUGAAGCCGAUCAUGACAUCAAUAAUCCCUGCCCUCACCGUCCGAGGAGGGAUCCCACUCGACUGUCCAACCCAGAGGGAGCUGGGUAGGCUAAGUGGUGCCAGCAGCCAAACUAUUAACACCACCUGAAAAGUUAAGCCACAACAAGGUUGAGCAACUAAUACUCAGCAAGACUGACCCGACAGGUGAUAACUACUGCCACCAAAACCUAGACAUGCAAGGCUUUUUAUCUUUGGGUUUGCUUUGCCAAAAGCGUUUAUAGUCGGUCCUUACUUUCAAUAUUUUAGCUCAAGUUCUACGUUCUUCAACCAGUCUAGAUUAGCAACUUAUACUAAGCAAGCAUAGUUUCCAAACAAUUAAAGAACAAGCAUCAUCAUUAUGUUCCAUAUUUACUCAGUGCAGAAUAGCGAUCAAGCAGUCUCAAACUAUGAGAGGCAGACGAAUCGAUUCGAAUUUAUUAACCAUGCAUGGCGAACCUAAUCUCACGAUAUCCGCGCACCACGAAGGGUUGCUUCAUUUGUCAGCCGUCCCCAUCGAUCCCUAGGCAUGUGUCAGGGCCAAACUUCCCUUGGCAUGCAAUGCUCCACAGUCUCAGCCUCUUGCUGCACUGUGACCGUACUUGCACCCACAUGAUGCACCAUGGGAACCUCAUUCCAGGGACAGCAAGAGUAUAAGCCACGCCCCAGUUCAAUCAGGUACUAGGCUUCCCUAUCCAGUACUAGGUAUGAGAUUAGUACUUUCAAACACUUGAUCACGAACGCCGACACAUUUCAACCUUAGUCCAUUUUCAUUUAGACACAUGGGGCAAUCCACUGACCACCAAAACAGUUCACAAGGCCCUGCCCCGCCCGUCGUCCUUAUGGUUGUAACAUAAGUAAACAAACAACUCCUAUAACUCGCGAGUGAUAGAAAAUCACUCAACUUUUACCGUGCCCGAUUAAGCAUUGCAUCUACGCAACUUAUCAUGCUAGCGUUCAGAUCAGAAGGGUGCUAAGUUCAUGCAUCUAAGGUGUCAUUCAACUCCUAUAAACAUAAAUGCACAAUCAUCAGCAUCAGCAUAUUGCAUAGUUUAAAAACAGGGAAGCAUGCACCGGGGCUUGCCUUCAGGAAAGGUUAGCGGUUCCUCGGGGUCUUGAUCUAGCUCGGGCUCACCCUCCAAGUGAUGAAGUUCCGCAGCAGGUUCUUCCUCCGGUGCAGGGUGGAGCUCGUAGGUUCCAUCGGUGAGAUUAGCUUCUACACGACAUGCACAUGCAAGAGUUUAGUUUCAACCAGACGCGAACACGAACGAUGCACGACAGGGAUUACGGUAGAAAGGAAGUUGCCUAUAGGCCACAUUCACCGCAGGAGUUGGAUUUAUCUAUUUAGCACUUUCUUUUAUUUACUAUGAUUUAAAAGGCCUAAACAAGAGAUAAAACCAUAAGAUAUUAUUUACAACAGUAACAUGAGCAAACUUAUUUUUGUAAGAAACUAGACAGAACAAGGAUUCCAACAAAAGUGAUUUGGUAUUUUUCUGAUUUUUCCUCGAUUUAAGAUGUAACUUCCAAGUUCCCGUCAAUUCAAAACGAGUUAAAAGUGUUGGGUCGGGGAAAACUUACGAUCUGACCCUUAGACUUAAGGAAUAACUGUACCGGGAUCCUCAGAUUUAACACAGAGAAGUCCUUGGAAUUUACAUAGAUACCCUCGGUCAAAAGAAAAAAAAGACACAACCGAGCCCUCGGGCGAGACGGACAACACUCGGGUGAGGCGGACAGGGGUCGGCAGCUCACCUCCGGUCCUACGGACGAGGUCUUGGGGUCGGGAAGAAACAAGCCGAAGCGGAACGGCGGAAGGCGGUAAGCUUCGGGCGGUGGCGAGGUUUGGCGGUGCUCCGACGGCGGUAGUGCUUCUCGUGGACAACAAGCAAGCUCUAGAGCUGUGCGAGAGGAUGGUGAAGCGGUUGGUGGUGUCAGGCCAAGCGCGGGUUUGGGCGGAAAGGGGAGCUCCACCGAGAGCUCAGGCGGUGGCGAGUGCGGUGGAGAAGAAUAGAGCAGGUACUACGGCAAAGGUGGUGAUGGCGAAGGAGACUCCGGUAAGAGGCUUUGGUACCUUUUUAUAGAUGCGCGGAAGUGUUCGGAGGAAGGAAAUGAGCUCGUGCGGGCGAGAGGAUAAGAUCGAGGGAGAAGGAAGUGCUCUGUCGUGGCGGCGAUUGGUCGGCGUCUCCAUUGGCCGGAGAAGCGAAGCUCCGGGGAUAGGAUCCCCUGGGCAUUGGGCAAGGGAAAUAGCGUCAGGCAAGCGCGGUUUUGCCGGGCGGGAGGAUUGGCGAGGUCGAGCGUGUGUCUGGUCGCGUCAAGUGCCAGAUUGGGGGCAGCGGCUCGGCCGGUGUCCGGCGAUGGCGUGGCGUGCGAGGGGAAGGAAGACGCGGGCGUUGGUUGGGCGAGCGGGCGAAGGCGUGGCGUCUUUUCCGGCGAGCGAGCAAAGCUCCAGUUGGCGGGCGUGGAUGCGUGGCAGGGGUGAAGGAUGUGCUCAGCCGGCGAUUGGCCAGCACGGCGCUCGCCCCAUCUUGUCAUGGGCGCGGGUUCGGCGUCGAGGCUCCUGUCCUAUCGCUCCCCCGUCGGGAAUAGGGUGCCGGCGAGCUGCUGGUGGACGGCGGCCACGCGGCGGGCGACGCGCGGGCAAACAUGCCCGGACGCGCUGGCGUCGAGGCAAGGUCGGGCAGCGCACACUAUCGACUUUGAGGGGGGGCACUCCUCACGAUUUUCAAACUAAACAUUCGAAAACCUCUUAAGCAAACUUGUAGUACUAUGGUUGUAGUUCAACUUUAUUAAAAAUAUUUGCUCAGAUUUUGAAAGGAUUUGGGGAACACCUUCGCCAAGAGGCGCACUCUGGACGGUUUCCCAGACUUAGAGCUGGAACGCCCAGAGGGCUGAGUUGACUAUUUACCCAACUUUGACUAGUUUGAGCAAGUUUGGUUACGAUUUGGACCUGGGUCAGCGUAACAAAGUCGGAACACACUCAAGAAACUACAACUUUUAUUAAAGGUCUGACUUGAGGUUAGAUAGGAAAUUGUGAGAUAACAGGUUGCAAAGUUGAAGAAAAACUUGAAUUCCAGGACUUAGGUUGUUUGCAGGGUUUUAUAACACUCCUGUUUUGAUUAUUGAUUUUGACCUUCUCCCUCUCCGAAUUAGCCAAAGUGUCUUUAACAAAAGUUGUUUGAAAUUAAAAGUUUUACAACUCUAAUUUGGGCAAAAGAUUUAAAUUUGUAUAUAAAAACUCAAGUUUUAAAUUUAACUCCAAAAAGAGCUUGUUAGGGUCAAAAAGGACAUUUUACCUCUUUUUCUUAGCGACUAACAACUUGUUUAGGUUUAAGUAUACCUAAUUAAGGCAGAGUUGUUACAUCUGCCCCGCCACCCUCUCCUUUCUCGUGGAAGCCCGAAGGGGGGGUGACAUUUUUUACAAAAACCCAUUCCUGGCCUGCUUCCCGCAAGAAAGGAUUGCGGCUUUGGCCCAUCGACCUAUCCUCUUUCGUAAAGCAUCCAGAGGGGAAAGAUAGUCUUUCAACCUGAAGCAACCGCCUCUUCCUCGUGAAAGUUAGAGGGGGGUGAUGUUUUUUCAAGAAUGAGAUGGCAUUUUUUAUCUACCUUUCGCAAGGAAGACUUGUAACCAUGGUUGCGCGAGAUAAAACUUAAAGAAGGGUGACGUUUUUAAAAAUAUCGAGCCCCAACGAAGCCUGUUGUGGCAAAAAGGGUGCAUCACGAAGCCUAAAAAAGUCCAAGGUUGAAGCAACUUUAAGUUGUGACAUCCACCAAACUUUCGUCGUUUCUAAGUUGACAAAGCCCAACUUCAGGCUUUACGUCGACUUAUCUGUUUAACCUCUCUGCAUAACAGUUUCAAAAGUCUAGCAAGUUUCGUCCGAAAGACAAAAUCCACCACAGCAACAUCACACUAAAAGAGUAUAAGCAUGCCAAAAAAUCAAGAGAGUAUAACGAUCACCAAAACAAAAUAGCUCUUAAUCAUAAAUAUGAAAGCAAGUCAUUUCAAUUCAAAGACAGACACCAGCCGAAGCUACAAUCAUUCACAGUAUUAUCACAAAAUGGGCGCACGAUCACACCAAAAGCGAGUUCAAAGGCGUUAUCAUCCCAACAUUGCAAUUCAACUAAAACGCUUCAGCUUCGCCGAUAUCCUUGUUCUUAGCUUCGAGCUUGGCCGCCGUUUCCUUCUCUCGCUCCAGCCUUUCUCUAGCAAUUUGUUGAAUAUACUCUACCCAGAAGUGGCCCAAAGUCACCUAAAGAUAUUCAGCUUCACCGAUUUCACAUUCCCAGUCUUUUCUCGAGCACCUAGCUCCGAAGCCAUCGGGAAAUCAUACCCAUCCUCACCAAGCGUCAAGAAAUGAUCACAAUCCUCAGCCUCGAGGAGUUGAAGGGUACUCUCCAAGUAGAAGGAUGCAGCAUAAUCGUUAAGACCGGUCAUAACCUCGGGCUAGCUUUCGAAUUCAGUCUUCAUCCAUUCCAAGAUUUCAACAACAUCACCAUCAGCAGGGUACGGAUAAGGUUCUCCACCAAAAGGACAAAGCGCAACCUUGUAUGCCUCAUAGAGUUCCGCAAACUUUUCUUUUAAAGCAGCCUCGGCCCCUUUGAUGUAUUCAGUUUUCUCCUCAAGCUCAGUACCCAUGAGGACCAAUGCCUUCGCCUAAUUUGCAAUGGUCUUGGUGUCUUUCUCAAUAUUUCCUCGAAGCUUUUCUAUAAUUGCAAUGUUAUCAGCAUCCCUUUCUGCGGUUAGAUCAUCACUAUUCUUAGCCACCUCUUCCACGGAUUUUAGCAGCAUAUUUUUAUGCUUCGUCAGCUCAUCAUUCACGCCUUUAAGGUUGUCCUUAAAAGCUGUGCAACAUCCUCUCCUUCCUCAAAUCAGCUAUUUUAGCUUCGAGAAGCGACACCCUUUCUGCCUUGUUGAGCAGAUCCCUUUCCUCAGCUUCCAUUCUCUCCUUUGCCUCUAUCCCAGCUAUCGCGCACUACACAAAACAAGAGCCGUGUCAAGCAAUCAAAACAAAAUCAGGAAAAAACUUAAUAAGUCUCCAAGCCAAACCUUAACAACUUCUUUGAACACUACACAAAGCCAUCUAACGGUCAAAAUUUCGAUAAAAGCAUGUACAAUGCAAAAGAAAAGACUAAGCACAAAAGAUAUCACCUUCGGGAUUGAACGGCCUGUAGUCACGAAUGGCCUUAUAAUCCAACUUGCUCUAGCCAGCCACUGCUACUAACCCAGCCUCGGCCUUCUCUCCGGUCCCUUUUUGACCGGCCUUCUCUCCAGACCUUGCCUCUCGUUUUUCCUCCGAGUGUUGAACGUACAGCAGCCAAAGUGGUUUUCAAAGGUCCCAUCUAAGUUGUCAAACACCACCUUUUUCUUUUGAAUGUGCAGGUUAAACAAGUGCACAAAGCCAUCCACAUCAACAGCACCAUUAAACGUAUGUUGAACCCAAAAGAACUUCGAUAGAACAACCAAGGAGUUGGGUGUCAAGUGAUGCAACUUAGCCCUAUAAUGAUCCAGAAUUUCUAGUAGGAUGGGAUUGCAGGGAAACCUCAGGCCGGCGGUAAAAAAGUCCCUAAAAACGACAGCCUCGCCAUACUUCGGCAUCGGAACAGCCUCACCCUCGGGUGCCUUCCCAACUCCUCCCGGAAAGAAUUUCUUCUCGACAUACAACUCUAUCACCUCAUCAAUAACCAACGACCGCUCGAAAUGUAACAUGGGAAUGCACACCGACUUGCUAGGCACAAGCUCGUUCACAUCAGCCUCAACACCGCCAAGGUCUUCGCCACUUUCACCCUCGUCAACUUCAUUGCCACCCUCAUCUCCGUUCCCAUCUGAAGUAAACCCAGACAUAUCACUGCUCGACGAGCCACCGUCACGAGCAAUAAGGUCCAUUGCCUCAGGAGCAGAUCUCUUUACUUCACCUUCCUCGAAAACCUCCUCGAUAUCAAUGUCUUCAGCCAUAAAAAGUCGACACAUCAGCUCAAAAAGGUAACCGUUGGCUCGAUUUGCACCGAUGCUCGAGGGUGACGUUUUUUGGGCAAAGAUCUUUAGUUUCGUGGGUUCGGUCGUCGGUGUCUAACCUUGACCACGAGGGGCUACUAUUGGGGAUGGCCCAAAAGAACGGUCAACCUCGAGCUCACUCGAAUCCUAAACGGCCUCAGGAUCAUGUAAAACUCUUAACCUCGCUACAGGUUUCCUAGCUUUGGGCAAACCAAGAGGCAUUCGGAAGCUCCCUUAGCAGUCGGGGACAUAAUUCAGGCCCAAAGGUAAGAAAAAGGUACGCAAUGUAUGCUGACGAAAUAACUCUACCUCCAGAAACUAGCAGUUGUGUGCAGGGAUGGGAGGCAAACAUGACCGAAGAUAGAGCUUUACCAGCAGAGCGUCAAGCGGAGGCCCGGACUCUUGAAUCUAGAGAGGCCUUCAUGAUGACAGCCUGAAGGUGCCGAAAUGCCCCGAGGUUGAUCCAAUUUUCCGAUGAGAAGCGAAGAUGAUCCAAGUGAGCAAAGCUGCGAGCAACCUCGGGUGCGAAGCCUAAGAAGCCUAGAAGCGUGAUCAACUUGGGAGCGUGAUUUGCGGGGUGAUGUGAGAGCGCAAAUCACGGGGCUGUCGGGGAGCAAAAAAAAACGUGAUCCAUAAAUGACCAAUAUGUAAAGAAUAUUCCGAGGAUGUAGUGGUUGGAUAGGGACAAAUGUGUCAAGAGUAAAUGUGCCCUGGGCACUAUAAAAGGGGCACCUCACCCCAGUGUAAAGACUUACGUGCACUAAUCAUACGAAAGCAACGGUUCGACUUCCAUUUGUGUUGUGUCUGACUUCACGAGAGGCUUAGACCCAACACCACGUAUCUGAACAAACUCCUCGAGUGAUAUUUCCCUUGUUUCAGGAACAAUUUGAGGACCAGGCGUAGACUUUUCAUGUGAUAUAUCCUCUUCUGUAUAUGGUCUCAUGAAAUAGGUACAUGAUCUUGGAGUCCAUGUUUUAGGAACUAAGUGAGAGCCAUGAAGAUUAUCUCUCUGAAAAAAAACACAAUUUCAGCCUUCGCAUAAUACAACAAUGUGGACAAAAUGCAUUGCUUAUUGCCACAACCGAUUGUACACUAAUUUUCUUCAAUGUAAAAUGCACUUUCAAACAACAAACGCGACAUGACUUGCAAGAAACAUAAGAUUUCAUGUAUACAGUAAUAGUAUGUAUACAACAUACGUACAGAUAUCACCGGUAGAAAUAGAAAUGGAAAAAGGAAGACCUGUUAUAAAUCAAAUGUGAUGGUAACAUAGUAAAAAAUGAGACACAAAGUCAAUUGCAAUUACAGAGCAUAAAAUGGUUCAUUUUAUGGUCAAUGUUAUGCAUACCAAAAGAGCUGCAUCGGGUACCGAAUACAAUUGUGUAAAGCUGCGGUCCAAAUAUAAUUCGUCACCAUGUGAUGUAAUCCCUUCCGAAUCUGGCUCCAUGAAUGAGGUAGAUGCUUCGGAGGUACUUGUUUCAGGAACAAAGUAAGAAUACAUGCCAUCUAUGAUUACUGCAUGUGAGUUUGUACUCUAAUGAAUUUAUCUUCCUUGAACAGUAUUCUUUAUGGAAUUCUUCAAAAUGAACCUGAUUUAUGUACCGAGCUUGAAGGGACAAUAAUGGAGAGAAUAGUCAAAGAUGAAGUGAUGAUCUACGAAAAAAACCAUAACGGAGGUAAUAUUGGUUUCAAGAUGAUCCACUGAAGUUUUCACAGUUAAAAUUCAUUGAAGCGUUUUUAAUAAUUAAAUGUGAAGUUCAGUGUGAAGAAGAAGUCGGUGCAUACUUUAAGGAAACACAUGAAAUAGGAAACCAUCUAGGAUAAUAUUUCACUCUUGGGCUAUAUGAUCAUAUCGACGUACCAGUGGUUCAAGUUUGUCUUUUGCCCUUAUUUGAAACUCAAAUCUAAUAUGUCAUUUAUUAUAGGCAUGAAGUAUUGUCAUCUUUCAUAGUUGUCUGUGUUCUUUGAUAAGGAAAUUAGCAUACUUUUUUUUGCCUCUUGGAUAUUGUGGAUGUUCAUUGUUUCAUUUGAAUAAUGUUUUGCCAACUCUGCACCCUCCUCCCCAGUUACGGGAUCAGGAACAGCUGUUUGAUAUGGGAAAAAAGAAGAAAAAGAAGAAAGAUGUCACUGCUGUUGUGUGGUAAGCGACAAGGGUUAUUGAAUAUCUUGGUCAGCGCACACCCGUUAUCCUCAAGAAUAAGGAUACAUGCUGCUCCCUAGUAGCACUAUGUAAGUCAAUGUGGCUGCAUUUUUAGGUUUUUUUUUCUCUCUCUCUCUGUAUAUCUACUUUAGUGGCUUGGCCGGUUACCUGGAAUUCGCACUGUUUACUUACUUUUACAUACGCGUGUACAAUCCAACAAGUUCAUAGAUUAAAUCGACAUUGAAUAUCAUUUGUAGUGUAUUUUCCCUCUCAAAAAAGGUUUCGCCCUCACUUCACUGAACUUAUUGGAAAUGCCGCCUAGGACAGAGUUCAUUCACUCCUUGUUUCUGGGCCACUGCAGGCAACGUUCUCCUGCUUGGAGAGAAGAUAACUCUCAAUUUAGAUAUCAAGAAGGUGUCGGAGGGCCAUCUCAUCUAUCUUGUCCAGAGUUAUCUUUUCUAUGGCAACACACAAAUGCAGGUAUGCAACUGUAUAGAUGCAAUUGUUUUGCAAAUGAAUGUUCAUUAACUCAAAUCUAAGCUACUGUCCACUUAUACUGCAGUUGGAACAGAACUUGGAACUAUCAGAGUUCAAUAAACAAGUUCUUGGUGUAUUGCCGAAGCUUCCAGGCAGUUUAUACUUUGAUGUAACAUUUGCUAGGUGAUUGUGAUACUGAUUUAAUUGUGUGAGUAUGUGCGAUUGUCCUUCUCAGAGUAUAAUGUUUGUGAUGUCCAUUUUUCAGCUCUUGUGGCUUUGAGCAGACCUCAGAAACCGCACUAUUUGGUUUUCUUGGUGUCCCUCUACACCAUGGCUGGUUGGUUGAUCCCCAGGUACCCAUUGUACAUGGGCUUUUUUAAAUAUUAGUUCCUUCAAUGCAUCAGCAUUUCUGUAAGAUUUGAGAUCUUUAUUGGGGUAAUUCAAGGCUGAUACUUUGAUAUUUCAUUAGGAUGUUGAAUUGGGCUCCUCAAUACCUAGAAGCUCCUACUCCAAAAUUUCAUAUAAUCUUGCUGUGUAUGAAUCAAUUCGAUCCAGCACAAAUUCAGGGCCUCAAAAGCAUGGUGGAUGGAAAGAUGACAUGGUGUAUUCAGCACUUGCGUUCUCUUUAUCAGGAUGAGAAGAACUUGGUUCUACUUCUUGUAAAUCUCGACAACACAAGUGUUCAAUUUUUCUGGCACAAAACCAUAUUUGCAAGUGAUUCUCCUGAUAAUAUUUUUCUUUGUUCACUAUUUUUAGGUGCAAUGAUCUCAACCUUUUUGCGGGGCCCUCACACUACGGGAAACACUAAAGUCGCCGAGUGUAAUUUUUUCGCCGAGUGUAUUAUUGCGGGCACUCGGCGAAGGACACGUUUACCGAGUGCAUUCCCAGUAACACUCGGCAAAAAUAUUACACUUGGCGAAAACACGAUUUGUCGAGUGCCACAAAAAAAACACUCGGCAAACUCCCACGGGGCACUCGGCAAACAAAAUCCACUCGGCAAAUACUUGAGCACGUGACUUCCACGUGCCACGUUGGGCGAAGGCCGUCACGUACGUUACUGUUUGCCGAGUGUCGGGGGGGGGGGGCACUCGGCAAACUCCAUGUUUGCCGAGUGUGUCGAUGGGGCACUCGGCAAACCUGAGAGUUUGCGGAGUGUCUCGGUGGGGCACUCGGCAAACCUGAGGGUUUGCCGAGUGUUUUUUGACACACUCGGCAAAACAAAAAAAAAUUUCCCUCCUCCCCCCUCCAAACUUUUUAUACUCCACAUGUAUGACAUUUGGCAUUGCAUGGUACAAGGUGGACUAUUUAUUGACCUGUUUGCUAUAUUUAAUCAAUUAAUUUCAUUUAGAGUAAUUUGUUGAUUUAAGUCAAAUUUGAACUGCACGUGAUUGGAAUAAUGGAAUAAUAUGAGUGGAAAAAUCAUAUUCAUGUUAGUGAGUCCAAAUUGAGGUCUUACCCAGAAAAUGAAAAGAAAUUUCGAACAUUUUGUUAAGGAAACAAGACUACGAACGUGUGGCCAAAUGAUUUUUUAAUUCUCAAAAAUACAAACGAAGUUUGAAAAUCACGAGAUUUUGCAAGAUGCCAUGAUUUCAUAUGCAAAGGCUGUGGUAAAAAAUUGACAAGGUUUCGCACAAGUUUUGACAUAUGAUGCUUAGAAUUCCAAGCAUCUGCGGAGAGGAUUCGUAGAAGUUGGAAGGAUCCGGUAAGAUUUUGAGUCGAAUCGAUACUUGAAUUUGUCAUUGAGUUCCAAUUUAUUUUUAUAGGCCAUAGAGAACAUAGAUUGGUUCAUGUCAAAUUUUGGGGAUUUUUUGGAUCCGUUUGAUAAUUUUUAUUUAUUAAUUGCAAGUAUAUGAAUUUAAUAGAUAUAAAUUCAAUAUGAGCUAUAAAUCCAUGAAAUAAUGGAACAAUAUUACUUAAAAAAUGGAAUACGCAAUGUUUAGUGAAUUUGACUAGGUUUACACAAAGUUUACAUACUUUUAAUUACUAAAAGUGCUUUGCACAUGCAAUAUGGGUACCUUUUUGCCGAGUGUAGCAGUAGGGCACUCGGCAAAUACGUGGUUUGCCGAGUGUAACCCCGGGGCACUCGGCAAAGCCCGCCAAGGGUCCAUGCGUCAGUGGGAGUUGGAAAUUCCUGGGGGAAGUACCCUUUGCCAAGUGCCCCUGAUCUAGCACUCGGCAAAGGCAUCAGCCGAAUGCCUUUGCCGAGUGCUAGAUCAGGGGCACUCGGCAAAGGUUUGGAACUUAAUCCGUCCAAGUCCCAGGCGCAUAGGCACAGUCACACCCACAGGCACACGCACACGCGCCGGCCCCAGCCGCCCGCCACCCACCCCGCUCGCCGCCCGCCCCGCCCCGCCCCGCCCCGCUCGCCGCUCGCGCCGCCCAACGCCGCCCCAGCCGCCCGACGCCGCCUCGGCCCGCGCCGCUCGUCAGCCCCCGGCCGCCCGACGCCGGCCCACCCCGCGCCACCCCGGCCCGUGCCGCGCCGGCCCCCGAACGCCCGACGCCGCCCCCGUCCCUUCCCGCGCCGGCCCCGGGCGUCCCGCCGUCAGCCCGGCCCGCGCCGGCUCGCCCCAGCCGCCCGGCGUCGCCCCCGGCCGGCCCCGAUCCCCGGCCACGACCCCCAGCCGCCCACGGUCAGCCCCCGACCCCCGACCGGCCCCCGGCUAGCCCCCAGCCAUCCCGGAUCGAUCCCGACCCCCGACCUGCCCCGACGCGCUGCCCCCGGUCCCAGCACUAGGUGAGUUGAUGCAAUAUUAUCAUGCUUGAAAUUUUGUCAUGCAUUAUGUAUCAGUGCUUGUUGUGGAGUCGGCCAUUGUGCCGUUGUGAUGUUGUAGAUGUGAUUGUCAGCCAUUGAGCCAUUUUAUUUGAUGCAGGUGUAGGAAACCUCCCCGUGCAGGGGAGGUGCUGUCAAAAUUUUAACUUGACAGGAGUAUUUUUUUUCAGGACAGCGUACGUUACCGUCCUCCAGUCGUCAUUUUGCAGGAUAGCAAGGUGAGGCAUCCUACAUCUUUCUUUCCAUAUAAUGUUCGUAUAUCACAUAACCUAGUUAGGCGUCUCCCGUUCGAAAUAGAUACGGUUGGAAAUAUGCAGAUUUUUGCAUAUCUAUAACCGUAUUUGUUUCGAAUUGUCCACAUUUUUUGGACAGCCCGAGGAUGUGUAGGUGGGUUUAGUAUCCAUGAUCUAUUUCGGUCCGAGAUAGAGUUUCGGCAGCACCUCCCUGUUGUUCUCCAGAUACACAAUCUCCUAUCAAGGACGUGUAAUUGGAGAACAGCGGGGAGGUGCUGCCGAAAUUUUAUCUCGGGUUGGAGUAGACCAUGGAUACUAAACCCUCCUACACAUCCUCGGGUGGGAUUAGGACCUAUCUUUACCUAAUAGACAAUAUAGGAACGUGUAUAUGCAAUGUGAAUUUUGUAUUACUCGCUUAUAUGCUAGAGGAUGGAGGAUCGUUAGUGAAUGUACGCGGGUCGAACUAGUCAGAAUACGUUGACCAAUGAAUGGAUUGACAAGACGGAUGUUUUCUUGGAACGGGCGUUUGCAAGUGUCAAAGGAGCUCGAUCGACUUGGUGUCUGUGUAGCAAAUGUGGAAACAUGCGUUGGCAAACCAAGCUAGACAUGGGCAAACAUCUGGUGAAGAACAGAUUUACGUCAGACUACACUAGGUGGAUCUACCAUGGUGAAUCUGACCGUGGGAGAGAGGAGGUCUUGAGACAACGCAUCGAGGAAUUUGAUGAUGAUGCUGGGGUGGGAGACAUGUUAAAUGACUAUCAUGAAGCACACUUCGAAGAAGCACGUAGGGAGGAGGAGCCAGAGGCUACCGCUAAGGCUUAUUACGAAAUGUUGUCUGCGGCACAGCAACCCCUUCACGGCCAUACCAAGGUUUCUCAACUAGAUGCCAUUGCACGCCUAAUGGUUGUAAAGUCUCAGUUUAGUUUGAGUCGAGACGCGUUUGAUAUUAUGUUGACAGUUUUUGGAAGCCUGCUCCCGGUUGGUCACAUCUUGCUAAAGAGCAUGUAUGAGGCACAGAAACUCCUUCGUGCACUUAAGAUGCCAUACGAGCAUAUACAUGCUUGCGCGAAGGGAUGCAUCUUAUUUAGGAAAGAGUAUGCGGAAGCAAAAUACUGUGUGAAGUGCGAAUCGUCUAGGUUUCUGGAGGUAGACUGUGGUGACGGUCAGAAAAAGCAGCUCGCAAUUCAUGUGAAGGUUUUACGGUAUCUUCCUUUCAUACCGAGGAUCCAACAGCUUUUCAUGACUGAAGAAUCCGCGAAACAGAUGACAUGGCACAAAAACGGUCGUCGCUAUAAUCCUGAGAAGCUGGUACACCCAUCCGAUGCUGAAGCCUGGAAAAGCUUUGAUGCGAUUUAUCCUGCAAGAGCUCUAGAGGCCCGUAAUGUACGCGUUGCGUUGGCAACUGAUGGGUUCAAUCCUUAUGGAAUGGCAGCCGCCCCGUACACCUGUUGGCCCAUUUUCGUUAUCCCCCUGAAUCUCCCCCCUGACGUCCUCUUUCAACGACAUAAUAUAUUCUUGUCGUUGAUAAUUCCAGAGCAUCCGGGGAAUAAUAUGAGUGUGUACAUGGAGCCUCUGAUUGAUGAUUUGCUCCGUGCUUGGGAGGAAGGGGUAUGGACAUAUGACCGAUCCACAAAGACAAACUUCAAGAUGCAUGUUUGGUACCAGUACUCACUGCAUGAAUUGCCGGCAUAUGGGAUUUUCUGCGGAUGGUGUGUUCACGGGAAGUUCCCAUGCCCAGUAUGUAAAGCAUCUUUGAAGUUCAUUUGGUUGUUGAAAGGUGGCAAAUAUUCUUCGUUCGACAAACAUCGACAAUUCCUCCCUCCUGACCAUCCAUUCAGAUGAUACAUCAAGAACUUUACCAAAGAUGUUGUAGUUACAGACCCCGCACCGCGGAUGAUGACAGGGGCCGCAAUUCGUGGUCAGUUAAACGCUCUUGAGGUCAAUAAUGAAGAAGGUGGUUUUUUGGGAUAUGGCGAGCAACAUGCUUGGACGCAGAAGUCGUGCUUGUGGAAGCUUCCCUAUUUUGAUGACCUUCUUGUUCCACAUAACAUUGAUGUAAUGCACACGGAAAAAAAUAUCGCCGAGGCAAUUUUUGGUACCAUAAUGGACAUUCCUGACAAGACAAAGGAUAACGUUAAGGCUAGAGUGGAUCAAGCGACGUUGUGCAACAGACCACAGCUAAACAUGGCACCUCCAAGAGCUGGCAAGUCGUGGAGGAAGCCUAAGGCCGAUUUCGUUCUGAUGAGGGCCCAAAGGAGGGAGUUUCUAGAAUGGUUCCAAACGUUAAUGUUCCCUGAUGGCUAUGCAACGAACUUGAAGAGGGGAGUGAAUUUAGCAACUAUGCGAAUCAACGGGCUCAAGAGUCAUGAUUACCAUAUAUGGCUUGAGCGCCUACUUCUGGUGAUGGUUCGAGGCUAUGUCCCUGAGCAUGUGUGGCAGGUGCAAGCGGAGUUGAGCAAUUUCUUCCGCCAGCUUUGUGCGAAGGAGUUAUCUCGUACCGUGGUUGCAGAAAUGGAAACAAUGGCACCUGUGUUGCUCUGUAAGUUGGAGAAGAUCUUUCCUCCAGGCUUCUUCAAUCCAUUGCAGUAUAUGAUUCUACACCUCCCGUAUGAAGCACGAAUGGGGGGGCCUGUGCAGGGUCGUUGGUGCUACUCAAUUGAGAGAUGUCAAAAGGUUCUUCGAACUAAAUGUAAGAAUAAGUGCAAAAUUGAAGCAUCCAUUGCAGAGGCAUACAUUCUGGAGGAGGUGUCAAACUUCACAUCAAAAUACUACGCUGACAACCUUCCUAGCGUGCAUAAUCCACCUCCUCGUUACAAUGCCAGCGAAGAUGAAUUGAGCCUUAGCAUUUUCCGAGGGCAACUCGGAAGUGCAAGUGGUGCGACCCGCAAAACCCUAAACCAUGAAGAGUGGCACUCUAUCAUGCUGUAUGUGUUGACCAACCUAUCUGAGGUGGAGCCGUACAUGAUGUAAGUUCUCAACAAACUUGUUUCGAAUUAGUCACCAUUCUCUUGCCUAAACGUAUAUUUCUCGUUGCUAUAGGCAAUUUCAUCGUCAAUUCUGGCGUAAAUCAAGGCAACCGUACCCGCACGAAGCUGAGACUCUUCUCAAAGAGGGUGCAGGAAAUGGAAUGCCCGAUUUCAUUUCUUGGUUCAAACAGAAGGUACAAUUUCAUUUCUUCGGACAUUCUCGUACAUACAAUUAAUAUAACGAACCGCCCUGUUUGAACUUGCAGGGCCGAACCGAUGCGUCUAUGAAUGUUGAGUUGAGACAGGUUGCCGAUGGCUGUGACUAUAGGGUCAGGUCGUUUGCCGGUUAUGACGUCAACGGAUAUCGUUUUCACACAACAAGGCACGAGCAGAGUCGGCCCAAUCGAAGAACCACAAAUACCGGAGUUUUCACGCCAGGCUCUGAUGGGGUCGAGUACUACGGAAGAAUUGAAGAAAUAUACGAACUCACUUUUCAUGGGUGCAAACCUCUUAAUCCAGUUAUAUUCAAAUGCCAUUGGUUUGAUCCAUCUGUCGUGAGACGGGCCCCUAAUCUUGGGCUAGUCAAAAUUCGACAGUCAUCCAGGUUACCAGGAGACGAUGUCUAUAUUGUGGCUCAACAGGCCACGCAAGUUUAUUAUUUGUCAUACCCGUGCCAAACCGACAGCCGUCUUAAGGGUUGGGAUGUUGUGUACAAGGUAUCGCCACACGGUAAACUACCUGUACCAAACAAUGAAGAUUACAAUAUAGACCCCAACACGUACGAAGGAGAGUUAUUCCAAGAAGAUGGGGUCGAAGGGAGUUUUGUGAUAGAUUUAACCGAAGCGAUCGGAAUGGAAGUAGACAACGAGAGGGUUGCUGCAGAGGACAGUGGAGACGAGGUUCAGAAUGUGAAGGACUUAGAAUUACUUCAACAUUACAGUUAGCUAAUGACAGUGAUAACGACAUUCCUCCUUCGGAGCACGGGCUUGACUAUAUCGACACGCGUGAUAGUGAUGAUGAGACUUAUGAUCCAGCUAAUCCCGAUCAUGAUGAUUAUUUCUAAUACAUGUAUGAUUCGUACCAAUUUAGUUAUAAUUUAAUUAUAAUUUGCAUAUCUUUGUAAUUAUGUUUUGUUUGUCUAUGCUGACUGGUUUACUCUUUUUAAUUGCAGGUCAUUGAGCAAUGGUGGGUGGUAUGAGGAAGCUCACGUUGAUUUGCGAGAGACUGGCCGCGUCAGGGACUGGUUCAGGGUCAGGGUCACGUUCAGGGAGCGGUUGAGGGAGGCGUCGAGGCAGGCCUCGACGUAGGGUUGAGGAGGAGGAGGAGGAGGAGGAGGAGGUGGUCCAAAGGCCUCGAGGGAAGGGUAAAGCGGCGAGGCCCCCGUCGCCUCAACCUGAGGUGGAGGAGGAGGAGGAGGAGGAGGAGGAGGUACCUUCCGUACACGCCUCUGGGGACGACGAGGCGGAGGAGGCGAAGGAGGAGGAGCAGCAGGAGCAGGAGGGGGAUGGGGAGGCAGGGGAUGCCCAGUCCAAGAUAUGGUUGCGAGGUCCCUCAUCCCUCCCGAAGCGGCCGAUACCUGAGCAUUUACGCCCGCUGAUUAAAUCGGUUGGGACCAAGUAAGUAACUUUAAAUAUUCUUAAUAAUGUUCUUAUGUUGAAAGUUACAAAAACUAAUAAUUUAUAUUAAUGACUUGUGCAGGAGUUGGAUUAAGCUCAGUGGGGGUGACCACAACCGUAAGGCCAACGGGAUCCUUGGCCUUUUGUGCAGGGUUCACUUCCCUGGCUUGGUGGUGUAAGCCGGACAGCAGCAGCCGGCCUACACGUGGGACCACUACGUCGCCGCCCCCGACGUCCCUGAUCGUCAACAGAGGAGAUUCCCCAACAUAGCGGAGCGGGUCAAGGCCGAGCUGUGGGUAAGUACUCAUCGCACUAAAUUGCUCAAUACAUUACCUACUUUCGACAUUCUUGAAAUAAUAACUGUAUACGCGUCUAUAUGCAGGAUUUCUAUAGAUGCCAGGAGGGAUUCGAGGCCAAGGCGAAGGUCGUCUGUGAUGUAGCCGCCAAGAAGCUCAUGAAGGACAUGCAUUACGAGGCGCGCAUCCAGGCCAUCAUCGAAUUCCACGCUCAAUACAGACAGAUGAAGGUUAGAAAAGAGGAGGCAAGAACAAUGAACCUGACUAAGGACCAAUUCAUGAGGGUAAGUAAAGAACAUUGAUACUUACUAUUUAAGAUUAAUUAGACUCAUUUUCUUUUUCAUAUGUCACACGCUUGAUGAUGUAGGUGCCUCCGUGGUGGUGUCGUGCGCAUAUGCCGUGCUGGGAGAGGAUGGUCGACGUGUGGUUGGAGCCCGGGUGGUUGGAGAACCACCUUGCUUGCCGGCAGCGGCGUUUGCAGAUGCCGACUGCACCACACCAUCAAGGCAGCCUAAGCCUUGAUGAAUAUAGAGAAAAAUGGGUACGCAACUUCAAUUCUUUAUUCUAACGUUCAGUUCUACAUAAUUCUUAAUCAUUUUGUAUUUUUUACCGCAGUCGGCGUCACAUGAUGGCCGACCUUGCUCCCAGCUCAAGGCAUGGGUCCUCUCCAAAAAGGGCAAGGCGACGGCCGAUAUCGAUUUCAACCCAGACGACCCGUCCGAGGCGUACAGCCACCCUAGCAUACACAGCCGCGUCAGCGAGUAUACAAAGAUGGCUAGGGAGGUUUACGGGCCAGACUUCGAUCGGAGCUCCGAGGACAUUGAUGGAGAAAUUGUGAUGAGGGUGGGAGGAGGCAAGAAGCAUGGCCGAUAUUGGAUUGGCGACAGUAUAAUCGACACGGCCUCUACUCCCACUCUCUCCCAGAUCCGAGCUAGGAGCACGGACUCGAGCCCGGCGAUACGGCCACGACCCACCACUGCACAGUUCCAGAUGGAGGCUCUCCAGGUUCUUUCUCUUCCAUUCAUCGUUCGUUUGUUGUUAUACUUUAGCUUUGCAUUAUAACAUUGCAAUGAAAUAUUGUAGGCCCAGGUGGAAGAAGCAAGGAAGAAACAAGAGGAGAUGGCGGCGCAGAUGGAGGACAUGCGGCGGAGGAUGGAGGAAGAAAAUUGGAUUAGGAUGGAGCAGAUGUUCCAGUACAUGCAGAAUUUUGCUUUGAGCAUGGGUCAGUCUUUGCCUCCGCCACCGCCGAUGAUGUUCCCUCUGCCUCAGCCACCCACGACUACUCCUGUGAGUCACUUGACACAUUGUGCUUUAGAUUCAAUACUUUAAUUUUGACAACUUUAGAUGUUAGCUCAGAAUGUCCUAUCCUAUAUGCAGAAUCAAUCGGCGGCUUCGAAUAAUGAAGAUCAAGAUUUGUCGCAGUGGUCUCCUUGGCCUCCACGGAACUAGACUUGGUUGUGAACUUGGUUGAAACUAAAUUGUGACUUGAACUUGGAUUUAUGGAUUGUUUGGUGCUUAUGUUGAAUUAUGCCUGUGGUGUUUAUGAAUAAUGUUUCUAAUGGUGGUUGUGAAUUAUGCAUGUGAUUGUUUAUUACAAAUGCCUGUGAUGAUGUGUAUUGUGAAUUGAGAGGGGUCCGUUAUACGUGGCAAAACGGGAAAAAAGGGGGGUUCUGGGCACUUUGCCGAGUGUAACACUCGGCAAAGAGGGGCCUUUGCCGAGUGUUUUGGCUUUGACACUCGGCAAACGUGCAUUUCCCAGGUUCAUGCGCAGGUUGUUUGCCGAGUGCCAGGGACAAGGCACUCGGCAAACACCCCCUGUUUGCCGAGUGUCAGGGGCAAAGACACUCGGCAAACACGCCGGCUUUGCCGAGUGCCCACUCCGUGACACUCGGCAAACAGGGGGUGUUUGCCGAGUGCUUCCCGUCUGGCACUCAGCAAAUCCGCCGUUACCCCCGACGCCGUCAGCGCGUAUUUCGCCGAGUACAUCUUUUCGCCGAGUGCUUUUUGGGCGUCGGCAAAAUGUUUGCCGAGUGCUCGCGUUUUGACACUCGGCAAACUAGUCUUUGCCGACACAAAAUUUGCCGUGUGCUGUUUGCCGAGUGUUACACUCGGCAAAGCCUUUGCCGAGUGUUUUUGUGUCUUCGCCGAGUGCCUGUGGCACUCGGCAAAUUGUAUGGUUCCCGUAGUGUCAGCUAAUCCCAUAUGGGUAAAUGGAAGUUUAUAUACGUUCAAGUGUUACUUUUUUUGUUGCUUCUAAAACUCGGUAUAUGUCACUGGGUGCAGAUUCUUUUCAUUACACGAUCACCUCAAAGCGAGACAGCCAGCUGUCCUGAUUUAGAAUGAAAAAUUAAUUACAAUAUCUAAGGUGAGCUAUUGAUUUGUUCAGAGAUAGUGACCCUUCCCUUAUUAAAGUGAGUGAACCUUUCCUCCUGAUAUAUUCCUUUUAUUGUAUAGUUUGAAGACAAAAUAUAUGUGUUGCUGAACGAUUUGUCCUUGUUCAGUACUGAAACCGAUGCGGUGCGGGAAAGGUUAACACAGGUAUGUUAGUUGAUCUUUAUAUGUUGCAUGUGAUUAUACUAUGCUAACCGAGAGGAGGAUAGCAAUGAGGACAGAGAUGAUGAGAAGACCGAGGAGAAAGAUGAUGGGAAUAUCGAGUUGAAAGCAAAUAUAUCUGUUAGCGCAAAAUUGCUAGAAUGAUUUGAUGUAUUGUUGGAAAAUGUUGCCCCUCAAACCUGUUUCUCGCAGGGCAUGCGUGUCUGAAUAUAAGGCCUAUUGAUUUUUUUGGACGAUCUACCCAUGUUAACCACCAGAUAAAUGAUGGCCCAUGCGCCCUUAUUGCAGUCUGUAAGUGAAAUUGGCUUUACUUUCAAUUUUUGUAUUUUAUUUCCUCAUGAUUUGGAUUUAUUCUGUUUUUUACCACAGGCAAUGUUCUACUGCUCAAGGAGGACAUCUUUUUUGAACCACAUGAAACUGUGGUGUCAAUGGAAUAUCUACUUAACCUUGUUGUCUCUUUUCUUAAAGAAAGUAUGAAAAUGCAGGUUCGCAACUCUUGCAAACUCGAUUUUGGUUGCAUUCAUGGCCUUCAGCCUAAGGUUGUGGAUAUAUUUUUUUCAAUAGGCCCAUUGUUCUGAAAUACAAAGAAAGAUAUGGGAUGUGGCGCAGACACUGGCCACAGGGUUUGAUGUGGACGUUGUCUUCACCAGGUGAUUGUAGUUCUAGAUUUCCAUAUUGGUUCUGUCUCUUUGCUUUGUUGUUCGCGUUGGCUGCUGGCGUUCUGAUAUUUGCAAUUUUGACAUUGCAGAACAGAUGGUUUUACGAUGACACCGGAGUGGUUGCUCCUUGAUUGCUUAGAUCUCAAUCUUCGACAUGGUUGGAUUGCUGCUGGGGUAAGCAAGUUUAUCAUGAGCAUUGAUUAUGUCGUUAGUGCAAAUUUUCUAAUUCAGUCUAUUUGUUGUUUGCCACUGGUUAAUAUUUUAAAUAACCAUGUGCCAAUGCUACAGCUUGGUUUCCCUACAAGAAGACCUCGUUGAAGAUGUUCCAUGCAUUCUGUACUGGAACAAUCAUUAAAAUACUAUAGUUAAGGUGAAAACUCAACGUUUGCUGUAUUUUAUUACUUUAGGAGCUAUGUUUAGGUGCCUUCUAUUUUUUCCUUUUUGACCCGUUUUGAUCUUAUGCAGAUCAAUGGAGUAUUACUUUCUUUAGUCAUUGAUUCAAAUUAUUUAAGAACUAGUGCAGUUUGGCUGACGCUUCAUGAGGUAUGCUAUUCUGUAUUUUUCAUAAUUUCUUUGUGUGAUUGAAAUUACCUUGUGACCAUUCUUAGCUGUGGUUUGUUAGGUCAACGGUGACGGAGUAUAUUCGGACAGCAACUUCACAUCAAUUUAUAUGGGGCUUGAUGCAGCUCCUUCGGUAUGUAUAACGUGGACAAAAAAAAAA
rnacentral:lncRNA from 1 species